UAAGGUGAGGUCUAAAACCGAACAUAGCAUGAUCUAACACAAAUUAACUCCAAAUUUAAAAUACAAAACAUUCAACCAAAACAAUGCACAAAGUGUGAUUCCUAGCAAUAAUUCGUUUCUAAGUUCCGUUGAAUCGAAAGCUAAACAAACAUCUAAUCCUUAGCACAACAAAACAAGCAAUUUCAUCAUUAAACAUUGAUCAUCUCUCAUCAUCAUAACUCAUCGAUGCGUUCGACUCAAGCAAUUUUUUUUUUUUAGGAAAACAAUAAAUAAACUAAAAAAAAUCCUAAGGCAUGUAAACUAAAAAAUUAAAGCACAUAAAAACAAGUAAUUUUCCACCCCCAAACUUAAAAUUUACAUUGUCCUCAAUGCAAUUAGAACAAAGUUCAAGGAUAGAAUACACCUGAUUAGUCGGAAGGUCCUUCUCCGGGAUGCACUCUUUGAUGUUCGUUUAAUCCACAUUUAACGUCCGAUCCCUUAGUGUUUGAUUUUCGACCUAAAAAUUAAAACAAGAUUAAUUAUUAGUUUGCGCAUGCUAAAAUCCUAAGAAAAAUAAAAAUAAAUAAAAAUACGAAAAUCGAUAAAUGCUUGGGUUGCCUCCCGAGAAGCGCUAAGUUUUAAGUCUUCAGCCAGACUUUGCUUCUUAAAACUGUUAUGUCCAAUCCAAAGCCUUGUAGAUUGCGCAUCCAUCCAUGAGCUCUAUCACUUUAAUUGCAACCAAGGCAUGGAUAACAUUGCAAUAUAUCAGGGUCCACCUUAGCUUGUAGUCUUUCUUGGUUGUAAUCAAUCGGUACGAAGCUAAGAUGGGAUAUUCAUCACCCGCUCCCUCACAUCGGUACACAAAAACCUCACGUCCGCGUAUAAUCUCCACUUCAAACACCUUCGUCUUCUCGUCAACCUCUAUUGAUGCCUUCAAAUCUACAUUUAGAUCAACGACAGGGUCCACAACUAGAAUAUCUUCAAUCAUUACAUCCAUCUCCUUCUUCUCUUGUUCUGAGGCAUCUUCGUGGUUUAGCUCAAUUGCCUUCUCAGAUUCAUCAUGCUCAAGUGUCUUCGUAAAUUAUAUUUCUCUCACAUCGACACUAUUUUCCGGAUAUAGAAGAUUUUUCUCACCGCAGGCUUCACCCGAAUUUUCUUUGAUAUAACCAUUGCCGAUUUCGUCUGGAAUAUUUUCAAGAGAUUCAGAUUUUAAUUUGAGCGUCAUUUCUUCCAGUUGUAUCUCCAUGUUUCGAAAUGAUGAUUGAGUGGACUUCAUGAAUUUGGCAAUAAGGGAUACCAAAUCAAGUUGUUCAUCAGUGGUCUGCUGCUGCAUUGGAUAAUAAUUUUGAAAAUCAUCGAAUUGUGGCUCUCUAUGUUGAAACUCGUUCAAAUCUUGGUCUUGAAAGCUUUGCUCGUAUGUGUUGGUGUAAGUGUUCCAAUAACCUCCGUUGGUAAUUUCGACAAAAUUUGUCGCUUUUGGUGAUCCCCAACAUUGAUCGGAAUAAUGAUUUCCACCACAUGCGGAACAAAACAGAGGAAUAUCAUAGGUGUUUUGGAGGUAUUCGUCAUAUGGAAGCCAUUCAUAUCCCGUUUGAGGUGCCCCAGCAUUGUAACCUGACAUGUAACAAAAAAAAAAAACCAAAAAAUCAAAAUUAAAAAUAAAAAAAAAAAUUAAAUGGCUGAAGUAAGAAAAAUUGCUCAAAUUUGAUAUUAGAAUAAAUAAAUAAUUUAGCCGUAUUCCCCGGCAACGGCGCCAAAAACUUGUUGGGUGCUAAAUACCAACACGCAAGUGUACGUAUCGCAAACAAGUAGUAAAGUAGACUCGUGAGAGUCGGAUGUCGAUCCCACAGGGAAUACGUAAAUUAUCUAAUCCUAAGUACCAAAUUCUAACAACUAUAAUUUUUAUCCAGCCUACGCACGUUUAUCGAAUUAAAUCAAUUAAACAAUUAAAAUAAUUAAGAAAGCAAAGAAUCACGAGAAAAUAUCAAUAUAAAACGGAUCUAGGAUUUUAUCUUCCCCCUAUGCAAGAAUUGCUCACCCAAAACCCCUCAAUUAUGAAAUAUAUGAUUCAUGAUUAUUAACCCGAGACACUAAUUUACUCAUAACCCGCUGUCGCGUGUAUUAUGAGUCUAUUAUUCAUAAACGAUUCACUAUAUGUCUAUGCAAACCAAUUAUAAAUAAAGCAUUAACUAACAAGUCUCGUAAAUGGCUACCUAAGGUGAUGUCUGUAUGUCUACGACACCACAUGCAAUUGACACACUCAUCCGGUGAAAACUACUCGAAGGUUCUUAUACUUACCGUCUAAUUAUCAAAAUAGCUCUGUCGAGUCAAUCCCAAUGAUCACAGAUAAAGCACAUAAAUUGAUCAAGUUCAUGCACUAACAAUCAUAACAAGUAUAAGAAAUAAUCAUAAAAUCAUAAUUGCAUAAUCUCAAGAAAACUGGUUCACAAUCCCCACAUAGGGUUCCAAUAAAAUCCUAGAUUAAAAACUUAGCUACUCGUAAUUCUUAUGAUAAACAAAAUAUAAUAAAUAAAAGAGAUAAGAAAAACUAUGCUUGAGUCUUCGUUGAUCUUCGUUCUUCGCGUUUUGUGGUGUAAAAUUUCGUGCUUAUGGUGUAGAGACAUGUUGCUUUUAUAGGCUUUUCUUGAUAAGGAAGUAGUAGAAACCUAAUAGGAAUCAAUUUCCGCCACUUUCCCCCAUCAGGACUUGUUCUUCGAUUUUCGCCAUGUUGGAGUCCGAAUUUUGGAAUAUUGUGUAAAUAAGAAUUGUAGUCCUUGAAAUUAGCUUUCCAAUGCCGCCAAAAUCACCUAAUUCGGAGUUCGUAUGAGAGAGAUAUGCUCGAAAUCGUGGAAACUGUCAAAGCUGUGGCGAGAUUCCUUCUUCCAAUUUGAUUUGUUUCCUUAUUUGCAACUUUUUCCUUUCUUUUUGAUCUUUUUUCCUUCAUGGACACCUAAUUCUCGUUUUUCACCUAUAAAACACAAAAUCAAUCAAUUAAAGCACAAAUAUAAUUAAAUCUAAACAAAAGAUCCACGUAAAGUAAACGUAUUGAGUGUAAAAUCUACACUCAACAGCGGCCCCCCGGUUGGGGCCCUCAUCCGGCCAGUCGUAAAUCCGUCCAACUGUAAGCUUCCCCAUACUCGAGGACGUAUCCAAUCGAGCGAGAAGCAAAGGAAUGGACCCCGCCUUGCCCACGAGUUCAUCCCUAAUUCGACAAAUAUUUUUAAAAUACGGGGGUGAAGUCGCCGACGGUUGCCAUUCCCACAAAGCCGUGCCCUUGAGAUAGAACUCGUUUACCCAUUGGAUCCACAGGGAGUCCUUUUUCAGGUGGAUGUCCCAUAGGUCCUUCACUAGCAGGCUAUGGUUCCACGUGCGCAAACACCGAAGUCCCAGCCCCCCAUCGGCUUUCGGCUUGCACAAGUACUCCCAACCGACUUUAGGAGCACUAGUGCCCCACAAGAAAUCCCGCGCCAUAUCCUCAAUGUAACCAAUAACUGUGAUCGGAACCGAGAAAAUCGAAAGCCAAUAGCAACACGUACCUUGAACAACCGCCUUCAAAAUCUCCAACCGACCCGCGUAAGAUAGCGUGUGACCCUUCCAAGCUCCAAUGGCAUGCUCGAUUUUGUCUAGAAGAGGUUGGUAAUUCAGCACUCGAAGUUUUGACGCAGCAAGUGGAAUACCUAAGUAUCGAAAUGGGAAGGUGCCGGUGGCAAAUCCGAAUUCCUCCUCAAUCGAUGUACGGUCGGCCACAUGAACUCCGGCAAGAAAUAAGUUCGACUUCAAGUUAUUCACUUGAAGCCCCGAUGCUCGACCAAACUCAAGCACAGUGGUGGCAAGCGUACGAACGGAUGCAACAUCGCCUCUCGAAAAUAGCAUCAAGUCGUCGGCAAAAAUGAGGUGCGUCAAUUUGUGCACAUGGCACAUCGGAUGGAAGUUGAGCUCUUGCUCCAUCGAACGGGUAUGCAGCAAUCUCGAUAGGUAUUCCAUGCAUAUGACAAAGAGGUAAGGGGAUAACGGAUCCCCUUGACGAAGUCCACGCAUCCCCGGGAAAAAACCCUUCGUCACUCCAUUAACCGACACAGUGUAGGAAACCGAUGUCACGCACUCCAUAAUCCAGCGAACCACCUCUUCGGGGAACCCAAGGCCCAUCAACAUCGAACGCAAAAAGUCCCAAUUUACGGAAUCAUAGGCCUUCCGUAAAUCCAUCUUGAUCAAACACCGGGGGGAGAUCCUUUUGCGUUUGUAUCCCCUCAUAAGUUGCUCCACCAUAUGUAUGUUGUCCGUUAUAGAUCGCCCACUAACAAAUGCUGAUUGGGCCCGAUCUAUAAUAGAGGGCAAUACCUUCUCUAUGCGCUUCGUAAUAACCUUCGUGAUCACCUUGUAGAUAACGUUACAGCAAGCAAUAGGCCGAAAGUCACCUACCGUUUCAGCAUGGGCUGAUUUUGGUAUGAAAACCAAAACCGUGUUAUCCCAUUGUUUUAGCAAUUCCCCACUUCGAAAGAACUCCAAGACUGCCUCCGUGAGGAGUGGUCCCACGGUUGACCAUGCCGCCUUGAAAAAAAGAGCCGUGUAACCAUCCGGCCCAGGUGCUUUAUCGUCAGCGAUAUCAAACAGUGCUUCACGGAUCUCCACUCCGGUCACUGGUUGGGUCAAUCCCUCCCGGUCCUCCUCUCCCAGCGUCGGCCCCGUGGCAAUGAUAAGGGGGUCAGCCGGUUCGCACGUAGUACGAGUGCCCAAAAAGUUCCGGUAAUAGGACUCAAAUUCUUCAAGUACCUCAUCCCUUGAGGUAGUAACCGAACCAUCCGCCCUGCGAAUUGCUACAAUGUUGUUUCGUUUCGCAUUCCGCUUAGCCAUCCCAUGGAAGAAUUUCGUCGCGCGAUCCGAAUCUCGUAAAUGGUGAAGUUUCGCCUUUUGGUAGAAGAAGCUCUUCUCCGCUUUUGCCAAGAAGAGGAAUUUCUCCACCUUGGUCAGCAUCUCCCCGCAGAGUUGAUGAUUAUGAGGGUCAUUAUGAUAGAUUUGCUGAAUUUCCUCGAGCUCACCCCCCGCCCGUCUAACUCGAUCGGAUAUGUGCCCGAAUUCUCGUCGGUUAAACCGCUUAAGAGGAUGCUUAAGGGCCUUGAGGUUUUUGCACACGGCCCACUGACGACUCCCCCGGUAAUCGGCCGUCCACACCUCACUAACUUCACGUCGAAAAUCUUCAUGCUGGGUCCACAUGUUGAAAAAACGAAAUGGCCGAGAUACCGGGGGUUCGGUCCCACCCAAUUGCACAAUAACCGGAGAAUGGUCCGACACCGCUCCAAACGGUAGGAAUCGAGCCGAACUACCCUCAAAAACAUCACGCCACAGUUGGUUGACAAGAGCACGGUCAAGCUUGCUCCACACUGUGUGGUUCGUCCACGUGUAAUGGAAGCCCGUUGAGGGUAAAUCCUCGAGUCCACUUUGUCGAAAGCACGACUGUAUAUCAUUCAGCAAAUAGGGUGUAAGCAAAUUACCUCCCGACUUUUCUUCAGGCUUAAGGACCACGUUGAAAUCACCCAUGCAAAGCCACGGCUCGGUGAUGCUCGCCCCAAACUCCACAAGUGAUUGCCACAACGGCCGUCUCGUAACCGGUGUGAAAAGUCCAUAUACAAAACUAACAUAGCAUAGCCUUUGAGAUACCAUACAUGUUACCUUGCAAUGGACCACCUGCGACGUCAUAUCAACUACUUCCACCCGAGCCACAUCCGGGUUCCAUAUAACAAGGAUCCGGCCUGCCGUGUGGAGGUGAAAGUUGUUGAUGUUCUUCCAGUGCCGGAACCGCCGAUCCAUAAUCGAGCUAAGCGUUCCCGGAUCCCAAAUCUUCGUCUCCAGUAAGCCACAAACCGAAUUCUUGUGCUUACCAAUGAGGUCCGCGACCUCCUUCUGCGUGAGGGAAUUAAGCAACCCCCUCACGUUCCAACACCCCACAAUCAUUUCGCCCUUGGGGGUUUGAGGCCCCCCCGCGGCUCCGCAGCAUCACGUCCAUCUUGCACAUAUUUCGACACAACUUUCACCCCCGAGCUUGAUUCACCCUCUUUAGGCAUCAGAAUCGCAUCCGGUGGAAGGUACUUCUUUUUUAUAGUAAACCUCGUAUUGGGGGCCGUCCCCGGGGAUUUGGGGGAGUGUAGGGCAUUAAACUCCACCAAUGAACCCCGGUCAUCCUCAUCCGCUGCAUAACACUCGGUCGAUCCAUCCUCCGAAACACCAUCCUCAUCACCCACGGUCACCACAACAUCCACGGCCUCCUCCUCCUUUUCACACUCCGGAUCCGCAACAAGCACCGUUCGUUUGCCGGCCCAUACCGUGGUCGCCGGUGGAUCUUGUGCAACACUCACCACCGGUUUGGGCUUUCGACUUCGUCCCCACUUCACCACCGCCUCCGCUCUACAUUGGUCCGUCUUGUGCGUAAGGGUCUGGCAUUUUGCACAAAACACCGGCUCAUAGCUAUAUUCAAUUGGGGCCUCAUAGCUUUUGCCUUUCGCAUUGAUCAGUGUGAGCGAUCAUCGUAGGGGUUUCGAUGCGUCCACCUCCACAUGCAGCCGAGCGAAGCCUAGCCUCCCCAUCUCACUCGUAACUUUGUCCAUUUGCACCGGUUUGCCAAUCUUCUGAGCGAUCUUACUCAACGCCUUUUUGUUGUAGAGUUCCGCAGAUAUGUUGCGGAUGAUCACCCAAACCGGUACAAACAUCAUGUCGUUGAUGUCGAAAUUGAAAAACUCCGGCAUGGUGCGAAUGUAUUGUCAGGUUUCGGGCACGCAUACGCAGCGGAAAACAAAAAUUUUAUGCGAUUUAAACGACUUUAAAACACACAAUUACAUGCCCGGCAAAUUAAAUCAAUUAAUUGCGUACCUUUGCGCUUCCAGCGAAAUUAAAAACAACAUACAUGCUAAUAAAUUUAACCGAAUUUAAAUCAAUUAACAUGCUCGCGUUUAAACCAAAUAACAUGCUUGUAAUGAUUUAAAACGAUUACACAUAAUCACAUAAAAUCAUACGAAACAAACAUGAAAUCAUAGUCUAAACCUAAUCGAAUCGAAACUAGGGUUUCGUGUAUUUACCUCUUGACGCGUGAGGUAGGAGCGUUAAACACGUCGAGAUUGCUACGGAAACCAAUCCGUACAAUCGGGGCAGCAGCGGUGCAGCGGCAGCAGCGGCGCGUGAGGUCACGGCGGCGCGUGCGGUAUACGCGCGGCUUCGGGGCGGCGCGUGGGGCAGCGUGCGGCUUCGGCUCGUGCGUUGCUCCUCGAUUCUUCGAUCUACGAUCUUCCUCCUCUCGGAUUUCACCUCGUAUACUUCGAUCUACUAAAACGUGGCACUAGACACGAAGUAGUUAGAAUAAAACGGAAGAAACGAAAAGAGGAAAGAAUACCGAAAAGAAACGGCCGAUGGACGGCGACAGAGAGGCGACAGCGGCGCGGUGGUGGCCGCGGAAAGAGAGGCCGAGAGAGAAAGGGGUCGGCCGCUUAGGGUUAGGGUUUUGUGUGUUUGUGCAAGGCCUAUAAAUCAUGUAUUUAUAGUCCCUUGCAUAAAACCCUAGCGGGCUUAAGUUGGACCGGGCCCAACAGCUUAAGCUUGUCAGUUCCUUUAAUCGCUCGUCUCUCUCAAUUCAAUGUCCGAAAAAUUGCAACGAUUACAUUUUCGGAAUCAUUAUAAUUUCCUUGUCAUUACGAGUGCCAACUCUCGAUUUCCAACUUUCCAAAAGUGGAAACCCUAGUUCAGUGCACUUUUUAAAUUUGGAAACUUCCCGAUUUAGAAAGUUCACUAAUACUUUCGCCUAUUCUUUUCUCUUUCUUAUUCUCAUCCGUAAUUCCAAAUUACGAAUGUUGGACUCAAUCAUAUUGACUUCCAAUCAUGCAAAGAUAAACUAUUUUAUCUCUGACCGUUUAUUCAAAGAUCUCAUGUGCACGAGCAGUGUGACCCUCGAUGGUUCAGGUGUAAGCUAGCCGUGGGCCCACAACCCUUUGUGGUCAAAACUCGUCCCCUUCGAGUCACGAUUAAGAUGAAGCUCGUUUCACCUUAAUCACCCAACGAAUCAAGAUUGGCGUCUAGCAACUACGCGUCAUGAUUCCCUAGAUACAAAUGAAGUGCCUGCAAGAACCUUCAGAUAUAUUUAACGUACAGUACGGUCCCUUCGAUUCAUAUGUCCCGAUCGAACUAGAGGCAUUGGUUCAUCGAGACCUCUUUAUAUGUUCGAUGACGGUGCGAUCGUUCCAAGUGUUGUAAUCCUUACGUGCAUGACUUAGAGAAUCGAAUUCUCUAAUCAUCACUUAGUCAGCUCUGGCCAGAGACUUAGAAUGAUUACAAACUUUCAGAACACACAAGACAUCCAAGACUAUUCUAGCGAUCGAAUCCCCGACUACAAUGCACAGACCUCCCACUAGAUUUCGGACUGCACGAACACUGGCCCUUGGGAUGGUCCUCGGUGGAACUCAGGGACAGGUCACGAUACAGCUGGUCCUCUAGUGAAGUCACGGUGAUGUCUAGGUCAUAAGGACUAAUGGUGUACAACUAUACCAUAGACAUCUCUACUCGAUUAUUGGGAACCACUUAGAGAUUUCUAGGGUGAGGGAGUUCAGUGAACUCGUCAACUUACGAGCACCCACUUAUGCAUGCCGAUAUCACAAUACCGUUUACUGAUGAGAUGCAGUACACAUACACUAAGUGCUAGUCUUAAUGGGAAAGGCCGAUAUCCUCAUUAGUGGCGUAACCCUUCGACUAGGAACACGUUUAACAGUUAUAAUACUUAAGUAAAUAUCUCACGAUCCUAACGAUCAAUUACUAGUACUUGUAAUAACUGUAAGGACUAUAUCUAUGCUUGUGACAAAGGGACAAAGAUAUAGAAUGCCAAUGUGUUUUAUCAUUAAUACGAAUAAAGGUUCGUUUAUUACAAUAAUAAAUACGAAAGACCACAGCCACAAGUUGGCUUGUUGGUCACCUACUCUAACAAUCUCCCACUUGACCUAAAGCCAACUACCCAUAAACCGCAAUCCCAUCGACUCUCGAUGUUUCUCAUGGACCGAUCUUGGUAAAGGCUUCGUGAAGGGGUCUGCAACGUUCUCUUCCGAGGUGACUCGUUCUACCUUAACUUCACCUCUAUCAAUGAUCUCUCGGAUCACGUGAUACUUCCUCAGAAUAUGCUUCGACUUCUGAUGAGAUCGUGGCUCCUUAGCUUGUGCCACGGCUCCGGUGUUAUCACAGUACAACGGUACUGGAUCACUAGCAUCAGGAAUGACACCCAACUCUUGGAUGAAUUUCCUUAUCCAAGUCCCUUCUUUUGCAGCUUCAGACGCUGCAAUGUAUUCCGCUUCGGUAGUGGAAUCGGCCGUCGUGCUUUGCUUGGAACUCUUCCAACACACGGCACCACCAUUAAGCGUGAAUAUAAAUCCAGAAUUCGACUUUGAGUCGUCCACGUCCGAUUGAAAACUAGAGUCAGUGAAACCCUCUAAUUUCAACUCGGCACCCCCAUAGACCAAAAAUAUAUCCUUAGUCCUUCGCAAGUACUUGAGGAUAUCUUUCACGGCUUUCCAGUGAGCCGGGCCGGGGUUAGACUGAUAUCUGCUUGUGACACUCACUGCAUACGCAAUAUCGGGUCUCGUACAUAGCAUGCCAUACAUUAUGCUUCCUAUGGCAGAAGCAUAAGGCGUCCUUUUCAUCUCCUCGAUUUCACUAGGUGUUUGGGGACACAUAGAUUUCGAGAGACGAACCCCAUGGGACAUUGGCAAGAAUCCCUUCUUGGAUUCUUCCAUGCUAAACCGUUUCAUAACGGUGUCUAUGUACAGGCUUUGGGAUAAGCCAAGCAUCUUUCUUGCUCUAUCUCUAUAGAUGCGUAUUCCCAAUACAUAAGAUGCUUCUCCCAAAUCCUUCAUUGAGAAACGUGUGGACAACCAUGCUUUCGUUUGCUGUAACAUUCCUACGUCAUUCCCAAUGAGUAGAAUGUCAUCAACGUAAAGCACUAGAAAUAUUACUGCCCUCCCACUAACCUUCUUGUAUACACAAGGUUCCUCCGGAUUCUUCUCAAAAUCAAACUCUUUGAUAGUUGAGUCGAACCUAAUGUUCCAACUACGGGAUGCUUGCUUCAAUCCAUAAAUGGAUCGCUGGAGCUUGCAAACCUUUUGCUCACUUCCAGAAGAUAUGAAGCCUUCCGGCUGCGCCAUGUAAAUUUCUUCCUCAAUGUCUCCAUUAAGGAAGGCGGUCUUCACAUCCAUUUGCCAUAUCUCGUAGUCGUACCACGCAGCUAUGGCCAGCAAAAUCCUAAUGGACUUCAGCAUCGCGACUGGCGAAAAGGUUUCCUCAUAGUCAACGCCUUGCCUUUGAGUGUAUCCUUUUGCUACCAAUCUAGCUUUAUAGGUCGAUACCUUUCCAUCAACUCCAAUUUUCUUCUUAUAGAUCCACUUGCAGCCUAUAGGAACAAUUCCUUUGGGUGGAUCUACCAAGGUCCAUACCUUGUUGGAGUACAUGGAGUCCAUUUCGGAUUUCAUGGCAGUUAGCCAAUGUCCCAUGUCCGCAUCCGAUACGGCCUCAUUGUAUGUUCUUGGAUCUCGUCCAAGAUCAGCAUGAUCUUCAUCAUUUUCGAGGAGGAAUAACCUAUCCGGCAUUUUCCGAACUCUUUCGGAUCUACGUACCGUAGGUUCAGGAGGUAUAUUAGUGGUUUGUUGUAUUGGUUCGAUUGCUUGUUCUUGCGUUUGAACUUCACUUUGCGGUUCUUGAACUACUUCAAGUUCUAUCAUGCUGCCCUUUCUAUCGGAUAGAAACUCCCUUUCCAAAAAGGUGGCAUUUCUCGAAACAAACGUCUUUGCUUCUUUGACAUAGUAGAACUCGUAUCCCAUUGAGUCUUCGGGAUACCCCACAAAAUAGCACAAGUCGGAUUUACUAUCCAACUUAUCUCCCACUAAUCGCUUCACAUAAGCGGGACAACCCCAUAUCCUAAUAUGUUUGUAAUUGGGUUUCCGGGAAUGCCAAAGUUCAUAAGGUGUGGAUUUAACUGCUUUGGUGUUAACUCUAUUCAGCAAAUACGCGGCAGUACGGAGUGCAUGACCCCACAAGUAUGCCGGUAAGUUUGUGAACCCCAUCAUGGAUCGAACCAUAUCUAAUAAAGUUCGAUUCCGACGUUCGGAUACUCCAUUAAGUUGAGGAAUUCCCGGUGGAGUCCAUUGGGACUGUAUCCCAUUUUCUUUUAGAUAGUCAAUGAACUCGAUGCUCAAGUAUUCUCCACCACGAUCGGAUCGCAGCUUCUUAGAUAGUUGCUUUUCUACUUCAUGUCUAAAAUCUUUGAACCUUUCAAAUGUUUCAGACUUGUACUUCAUCAAGUACACAUACCCAUACCUAGAAUAAUCGUCGGUAAAGGUGGCGAAGUAGUUAUAUCCACCCUUCGCACUAACACUUAGUGGACCACAUACGUCUGUAUGGAUCAAAUCCAAAAGACCCUCGGCUCGUUCCAUUUUCCCUUUGUAGGGUGAUUUGGUCAUUUUCCCUUUAAGGCAAGAUUCACAAGUUUGUAGUGAUUUCACGUCCUCCAAAGAGAACAAUCCUUCACUAACAAAAUCGUUCAUCCUUCUUAAAGAGACAUGACCUAAUCUAGCGUGCCAAAGUUGUGCGGGGUUUUGAUCUAUCUCCUUACGUUUUGCUGAUAUAACAUUAAUAGGUAUUUCACUUGGAUUUAGUUCAUACAAGUUGUUUAAUAGUCGUCCUUUGCAAAUUAAAUUCUCAUUCUUUUGUAUAAUGCAAAUCGAAUUUCCAAAAACAAAAGUAAAACCUUCAAUAUCUAAUACAGGAAUAGAAAUAAGGUUUCUAAUGAGCGACGGAACAAAUAAACAAUCGUUCAAAACAAUAGGAAAACUAGAAUCCAAAACAUUUAAGUAAAUUGUGCCAAUGGCUUCAGCAGCAACUCUUGCUCCAUUCCCCAUCCUUAGGUAGGUCUCACCCGCUCUAAGUCUUCGACUUCUUGUCAUUAGCUGCAAAUCAUUGCACAAAUGUGAGCCACAGCCCGUAUCCAAUACCCAAGAAGAAGAGUUGACAGACAAAUUUACGUCAAUGAAAUACGUACCCUUUUCAGAACCUUUCUGCUUCAGGUAAGCCUUGCAGUUGCGGCGCCAAUGUCCUUUCUUUCCACAGUGAUGGCAAGCAUCAUCAACUUGUUUGCUAACCUUUGCUUUGGGGCCCCCACUACCUUCACCCACUUCGAACUUGCUGUUAGGGAAAAGAACUCUUUCCUUUCUCUUCUUUUGGAAAGAACUCUUCUUUCCAGAAGUAGCAGCAAUGAGAACAGACUUCUCUUUCUUAAUGGUGGACUCGAAGCUGACCAACAUGUUCAUUAACUCAUCCAAGGGAGGAUCUAGUUUGUUCAUGUUGAAGUUCACUAUGAACGAUUCAUAGGAACUAGGAAGAGACAACAGGAUCAGAUCCAACGAGAGCUCGGCCGGGAGGGUGACAUCAAGAUUCACUAGCUUUUCAAGGAGAGUGAUCAUUUUGAGACAGUGCUCGUGGACCGAAGUCCCUUCGCGCAGUCUCGCUGUGAUCAACUCCUUUGUAGCAGCGUAUCUCGAUGCCCUUAUAUUCUCACUAUACAUGCUAUCGAGAUGAGCCUUUAUAUCGAAAGCAUGCAAGUGAGACUCAUAUUUCCUCGCAAGCGCGGGCUCCAUGGCGGCUAUCAUGUAGCACCUAGCAUGAGUGUCAUCUUUCUUCCAAACUUCAUAAGUUUCCUUUUCAGCAUCAGUCGCUGUGGCAGGUAUAGUGGCGGGAAGCCCCUCGUUCAAAACAUAGAGACGCCCCUCAACAGUUAGCACAAGCUUAAGACUACGCAACCAAUCUAGGUAAUUAGGGCCAUUGAGUUUAUUGUCGAUGAUUGACAUUAUGGGAUUCUUAGACAUGAUUAUCUGAGACAUAUAGAGAAGAGGAUUAUUAGAGAUUCGCGUUAAAUGAUUGUUACAAUUAAAUGUUUGGACUUAUGUUAUUUAAUUGUUCUCCCACUAAUUUUAUCGAGUUCCACUUCCCUCUAGUAGACAAACGAGAAAACUGAUUUUUCUUAAUGGGCUUUAGGUCCAAUAGACAAAUAUAACCCGUAGUUAAUCUAGCCCGAUUAUAUUUGCCCAAAGGUAGAUCACAAUCAAUCAUAUCCACAAUAUGCCAAACUAAUGCAGUCCCUAGUUAAUCUAGCCGACCACGUUAAUCCAACAUAACCCUUUUCUAUGGCUACCUUCAUCGCUAUGUCAAUUGGAUUACAGCUUACUCUACCAUAGCACUCCCCGCUAACACGGCUUACUGCACUACAGUAAAGGGCUACACAUAAUCCAACCGUUGGCAGAAGGAAAGAAAUAACUCAACAGAUUGGGUUUUUCUUUAUAGCUUGAAAUGAUUCUUAAUUAAAUUAAGAAUGAGGGAUUUUUAUUAAAAUGUUUUAUCUCAUCAGAAGGUUUUGGAUUGGUCUAUGUGAUUCCUACAUCUAUGUUCUCUAAAGGUAUAUGGAAACGCAUAUUGUCCUAAGAGGAACAUACGACCUAACUGUUGGGUUUCGGGCACGCAUACGUAGCGGAAAACAAAAAUUUAUGCGAUUUAAACGACUUUAAAAACACAUAAGAACAUGCCCGAUAAAUUAAAUUCAAUUAAUUGCGUACCUUUGCGCUUCCAGCGAAAUUAAAACAACAUACAUGCUAAUAAAUUUAACCGAAUUUAAAUCAAUUAACAUGCUCGCGUUUUAAACCAAGUAACAUGCUCGUAACGAUUUAAUCGAUUACACAUAAUCACAUAAAAUCAUACAAACACAAGCAUGAAAUCAUAGUUUAAACUAAACCCUAAACGAAACUAGGGUUUCGUAUAUUUACCUCUUGACGCGCGAGGUAGGAGCGAUUAGCACUUCGUGAUUACUACGGAAACCAAUCCGUAGAAUCGGGGCAGUAGCGGUGCGUGGGCAGCAGCGGCGCGUGAGGUCACGGCGGCGCGUGUGGUGUACGCGCGGCUUCGGGGCGGCGCGUGGGGCAGCGUGCGGCUUCGGCUCGUGCGUUGCUCCUCGAUUCUUCGAUCUACAGUCUUCCUCCUCUCGGAUUUCACCUCGUAUACUUCGAUCUACUAAAUCGUGGCACUAGACACGAAGUAGUUAGAAUAAAACGGAAAGAAAAUAAAAGGAGAAAGAAUACCGAACAAGAACCGCCGACGAACGGCCGGUUCCGGCGACGGAGCGGCGACGGUGGUGCGGUGGUGGCCGCGCGGGAGAGGGGGCGAGAGAGAGAGGGUCGGCCGCUUAGGGUUAGGGUUUUUGUUGUCUGUGCAAGGGCUAUAAAUCAUGUAUUUAUAGUCCCUUGUAUAAAACCCUAGCGGGCUUAAGUUGGACUGGGCCCAACUGCUUAAGCUCGUUAGUUUCUUUACUCGCUCGUAUCUCUCAAUUCAAUGAUCGAAAAAUUGUAACGAUUACAUUUUCCGAGUCAUUAUAAUUUCCUCGUCAUUACGAGUGCCAUCUCUUAUUUUCCAACUUUCCAAAAGUGGAAACCCUAAUUCAGUGCACUUUCUAAAUUUGGAAACUUCCCGAUUUAGAAAGUCCACUAAGAUGUUCGCCUAUUCUUUUCCUUUUCUUAUUCUCAUUCAUAAUUCCAAAUUACGAAUGUUGGACUCAAUCAUAUUGACUUCCAAUCAUGCAAAGAUGAACUAUUUUAUCUCUGACCGUUUAUUCAAAGAUCUCAUGUGCACGAGCAGUGUGACCCUCGAUGGUUCAGGUGUAAGCUAGCCGUGGGCCCACAACCCUUUGUGGUCAAAACUCGUCCCCUUCGAGUUACGAUUAAGAUGAAACUCGUUUCACCUUAAUCACCCAACGAAUCAAGAUUGGCGUCUAGCAACUACGCGUCAUGAUUCCCUAGAUACAAAUGAAGUGCCUGCAAGAACCUUCAGAUAUAGUUAACGUACAGUACGGUCCCUUCGAUACAUAUGUCCCGAUCGAACUAGAGGCAUUGGUUCAUCGAGACCUCUCUAUAUGUUCGAUGACGGUGCGAUCGUUCUAAGUGUUGUAAUCCUUACGUGCAUGACUUAGAGAAUCAAAUUCUCUAAUCAUCACUUAGUCAGCUCUGGCCAGAGACUUAGAAUGAUUACAAACUUUCAGAACACACAUGACAUCCAAGACUAUUCUAGCGAUCGAAUCCCCGACUACAAUGCACAGACCUCCCACUAGAUUUCGGACUGCACGAACACUGGCCCUUGGGAUGGUCCUCGGUGGAACUCAGGGACAGGUCACGAUACAGCUGGUCCUCUAGUGAAGUCACGGUGAUGUCUAGGUCAUAAGGACUAAUGGUGUACAACUAUACCAUAGAUAUCUCUACUCGAUUAUUGGGAACCACUUAGAGAUUUCUAGGGUGAGGGAGUUCAGUGAACUCGUCAACUUACGAGCACCCACUUGCGCAUGCCGAUAUCACAAUACCGUUUACUGAUGAGAUGCAGUACACAUACACUAAGUGCUAGUCUUAAUGGGAAAGGCCGAUAUCCUCAUUAGUGGCGUAACCCUUCGACUAGGAACACGUUUAACAGUUAUAAUACUUAAGUAAAUAUCUCACGAUCCUAACGAUCAAUUACUAGUACUUGUAAUAACUGUAAGGACUAUAUCUAUGCUUGUGACAAAGGGACAAAGAUAUAGAAUGCCAAUGUGUUUUAUCAUUAAUACGAAUAAAGGUUCGUUUAUUACAAUAAUAAAUACGAAAGACCACAGCCACAAGUUGGCUUGUUGGUCACCUACUCUAACAAUCUCCCACUUGACCUAGAGCCAACUACCCAUAAAUCGCAAUCCCAUCGACUCUCGAUGUUUCUCAUGGACCGAUCUCGGUAAAGGCUUCGUGAAGGGGUCUGCAACGUUCUCUUCCGAGGUGACUCGUUCUACCUUAACUUCACCUCUAUCAAUGAUCUCUCGGAUCACGUGAUACUUCCUCAGAAUAUGCUUUGACUUCUGAUGAGAUCGUGGCUCCUUAGCUUGCGCCACGGCUCCGGUGUUAUCACAGUACAACGGUACUGGAUCACUAGCAUCAGGAAUUACACCCAACUCUUGGAUGAAUUUCCUUAUCCAAGUCCCUUCUUUUGCAGCUUCGGACGCUGCAAUGUAUUCCGCUUCGGUAGUGGAAUCGGCCGUCGUGCUUUGCUUGGAACUCUUCCAACACACGGCACCACCAUUAAGCGUGAAUAUAAAUCCAGAAUUCGACUUCGAGUCGUCCACAUCCGAUUGAAACUAGAGUCAGUGAAACCCUCUAAUUUCAACUCGGCACCCCCAUAGACCAAAAAUAUAUCCUUAGUUCUUCGCAAGUACUUGAGGAUAUCUUUCACGGCUUCCCAGUGAGCCGGGCCGGGGUUAGACUGAUAUCUGCUUGUGACACUCACAGCAUACGCAAUAUCGGGUCUAGUACAUAGCAUGCCAUACAUUAUGCUUCCUAUGGCAGAAGCAUAGGGCGUUCUUUUCAUCUCCUCGAUUUCACUAGGUGUUUGGGGACACAUAGAUUUCGAGAGACGAACCCCAUGGGACAUUGGCAAGAAUCCCUUCUUGGAUUCUUCCAUGCUAAACCGUUUCAUAACGGUGUCUAUGUACAGGCUUUGGGAUAAGCCAAGCAUCUUUCUUGCUCUAUCUCUAUAGAUGCGUAUUCCCAAUACGUAAGAUGCUUCUCCCAAAUUCUUCAUUGAGAAACGUGUGGAUAACCAUGCUUUCGUUUGCUGUAACAUUCCUACGUCAUUCCCAAUGAGUAGAAUGUCAUCAACGUAAAGCACUAGAAAUAUUACUGCCCUCCCACUAACCUUCUUGUAUACACAAGGUUCCUCCGGAUUCUUCUCAAAAUCAAACUCUUUGAUAGUUGAGUCGAACCUAAUGUUCCAACUAAGGGAUGCUUGUUUCAAUCCAUAAAUGGAUCGCUGGAGCUUGCAAACCUUUUGCUCACUUCCAGAAGAUAUGAAGCCUUCCGGCUGCGCCAUGUAAAUUUCUUCCUCAAUAUCUCCAUUAAGGAAAGCGGUCUUCACAUCCGUUUGCCAUAUCUCGUAGUCGUACCACGCAGCUAUGGCCAGCAAAAUCCUAAUGGACUUCAGCAUCGCGACUGGCGAAAAGGUUUCCUCAUAGUCAACGCCUUGCCUUUGAGUGUAUCCUUUUGCUACCAAUCUAGCUUUAUAGGUCGAUACCUUUCCAUCAACUCCAAUUUUCUUCUUAUAGAUCCACUUGCAGCCUAUAGGAACAAUUCCCUUAGGUGGAUCUACCAAGGUCCACACCUUGUUGGAGUACAUGGAGUCCAUUUCGGAUUUCAUGGCAGUUAGCCAAUGUCCCAUGUCCGCAUCCGAUACGGCCUCGUUGUAUGUUCUUGGAUCUCGUCCAAGAUCAACAUGAUCUUCAUCAUUUUCGAGGAGGAAUAACCUAUCCGGCAUUUUCCGAACUCUUUCGGAUCUACGUAUCGUAGGUUCAGGAGGUAUAUUAGUGGUUUGUUGUAUUGGUUCGAUUACUUGUUCUUGCGUUUGAACUUCACUUUGUGGUUCUUGAAAUACUUCAAGUUCUAUCAUGCUGCCCUUUCUAUCGGAUAGAAACUCCCUUUCCAAAAAGGUGGCAUUUCUCGAAACAAACGUCUUUGCUUCUUUGACAUAGUAGAACUCGUAUCCCAUUGAGUCUUCGGGAUACCCCACAAAAUAGCAUAAGUCGGAUUUACUAUCCAACUUAUCUCCCAUUAAUCGCUUCACAUAAGCGGGACAACCCCAUAUCCUAAUAUGUUUGUAAUUGGGUUUCCGGGAAUGCCAAAGUUCAUACGGUGUGGAUUUAACUGCUUUGGUGUUAACUCUAUUCAGCAAAUACGCGGCAGUACGAAGUGCAUGACCCCAUAAGUAUGCCGGUAAGUUUGUGAACCCCAUCAUUGAUCGAACCAUAUCUAAUAGAGUUCGAUUCCGACGUUCGGAUACUCCAUUAAGUUGAGGAGUUCCCGGUUGAGUCCAUUGGGAUUGUAUCCCAUUCUCUUUUAGAUAGUCAAUGAACUCGAUGCUCAAGUAUUCCCCACCACGAUCGGAUCGCAGCUUCUUAAUACUUCGUCCGAGUUGCUUUUCUACUUCGUGUCUAAAAUCUUUGAACCUUUCAAAUGUUUCAGACUUGUACUUCAUCAAGUAUACAUACCCAUACCUAGAAUAAUCAUCGGUAAAGGUAGCAAAGUAGUUAUAUCCACCCUUCGCACUAACACUUAGUGGACCACAUACGUCUGUAUGGAUCAAAUCCAAAAGACCCUCGGCUCGUUCCAUUUUCCCUUUGUAGGGUGACUUGGUCAUUUUCCCUUUAAGGCAAGAUUCACAAGUUUGUAGUGAUUUCACGUCCUCCAAAGAGAACAAUCCUUCACUAACAAAAUCGUUCAUCCUUCUUAAAGAGACAUGACCUAAUCUAGCGUGCCAAAGUUGUGCGGGGUUUUGAUCUAUCUCCUUACGUUUUGCUGAUAUAACAUUAAUAGGUAUUUCACUUGGAUUUAGUUCAUACAAGUUGUUUAAUAGUCGUCCUUUGCAAAUUAAAUUCUCAUUCUUUUGUAUAAUGCAAAUCGAAUUUCCAAAAACAAAAGUAAAACCUUCAAUAUCUAAUACAGGAAUAGAAAUAAGGUUUCUAAUGAGCGACGGAACAAAUAAACAAUCGUUCAAAACAAUAGGAAAACUAGAAUCCAAAACAUUUAAGUAAAUUGUGCCAAUGGCUUCAGCAGCAACUCUUGCUCCAUUCCCCAUCCUUAGGUAGGUCUCACCCGCUCUAAGUCUUCGACUUCUUGUCAUUAGCUGCAAAUCAUUGCACAAAUGUGAGCCACAGCCCGUAUCCAAUACCCAAGAAGAAGAGUUGACAGACAAAUUUACGUCAAUGAAAUACGUACCCUUUUCAGAACCUUUCUGCUUUAGGUAAGCCUUGCAGUUGCGGCGCCAAUGUCCUUUCUUUCCACAGUGAUGGCAAGCAUCAUCAACUUGUUUGCUAACCUUUGCUUUGGGGCCCCCACUACCUUCACCCACUUCGAACUUGCUGUUAGGGAAAAGAACUCUUUCCUUUCUCUUCUUUUGGAAAGAACUCUUCUUUCCAGAAGUAGCAGCAACGAGAACAGACUUCUCUUUCUUAAUGGUGGACUCGAAGCUGACCAACAUGUUCAUUAACUCAUCCAAGGGAGGAUCUAGUUUGUUCAUGUUGAAGUUCACUAUGAACGAUUCAUAGGAACUAGGAAGAGACAACAGGAUCAAAUCCAACGAGAGCUCGGCCGGGAGGGUGACAUCAAGAUUCACUAGCUUUUCAAGGAGAGUGAUCAUUUUGAGACAGUGCUCGUGGACCGAAACCCCUUCGCGCAAUCUCGCUGUGAUCAACUCCUUUGUAGCAGCGUAUCUCGAUGCCCUAAUAUUCUCACUAUACAUGCUAUCGAGAUGAGCCUUUAUAUCGAAAGCAUGCAAGUGAGACUCAUAUUUCCUCGCUAGCGCGGGCUCCAUGGCGGCUAUCAUAUAGCACCUAGCAUGGGUGUCAUCUUUCUUCCAAACUUCAUAAGUUUCCUUUUCAGCAUCAGUCGCUGUGGCAGGUAUAGUGGCGGGAAGCCUCUCGUUCAAAACGUAGAGACGCCCCUCAACCGUAAGCACAAGCUUAAGACUACGCAACCAAUCUAGGUAAUUAGGGCCAUUGAGUUUAUUGUCGAGGAUUGACAUUAUGGGAUUCUUAGACAUGAUUAUCUGAGACAUAUAGAGAAGAGGAUUAUUAGAGAUUCGCGUUAAAUGAUUGUUACAAUUAAAUGUUUGGACUUGUGUUAUUUAAUUGUUCUCCCACUAAUUUUAUCGAGUUCCACUUCCCUCUAGUAGACAAACGAGAAAACUGAUUUUUCUUAAUGGGCUUUAGGUCCAAUAGACAAAUAUAACCCGUAGUUAAUCUAGCCCGAUUAUAUUUGCCCAAAGGUAGAUCACAAUCAAUCAUAUCCACAAUAUGACCCUAAAUUAAUUUUCCUCACACUUGAAAAUGACCUAAGUUAAUCUCGCGAAUAUCAAAAUCGUUGUGUGUCAAGUCUAACCUACCAAUCAAAGAUGCUCAUAGAACUCGAUUAUGCCAAACUAAUGCAGUCCCUAGUCAAUCUAGCCGACCACGUUAAUUCAACAUAACCCUUUUCUAUGGCUACCUUCAUCAAUAUGUCAAUUGAAUUACAGCUUACUCUACCAUAGCACUCCCCGCUAACACGGCUUACUGCACUAUAGUAAAGGGCUACACAUAAUCCAACCGUUGGCAGAAGGAAAGAAAUAACUCAACAGAUUGGGUUUUUCUUUAUAGCUUGAAAUGAUUCUUAAUUAAAAGAAUGAGGGAUUUUAAUUAAAAUGUUUUAUCUCAUCAGAAGGUUUUGGAUUGGUCUAUGUGAUUCCUACAUCUAUGUUCUCUAAAGGUAUAUGGAAACGCAUAUUGUCCUAAGAGGAACAUACGACCUAACUACAUAAUUAAUUACAAUAAUUAAUUAUCGGGUUUUUCAAAAUAAUUAUAGAACCUCAACUAGCAUAAAUCAUUCAAAUAAUGUUGAGGUACUAUUAAUUAAGUUGAACUUAUAAUCAAUAUUAUAUAUGUGUUCUAUUAAUUGAAAUCAAUUUAACAAUUUAAAUCAAUUUAAUUAAUCUAACACAUAUUUACUAAAAUAGAUGAUUGUCGAUCCAAUUAUCUAAUUGGGAUUAAUUGAAAAUAAUUUUCCAAAAAUUAAAAUCAAUUUGUUUUAAGUUUAAUUUUAGAAAUCUGAAAUAAAUUUUUUUUCUUUUUUUUUUUUUUUUAUUUUCAGUGAACCGGUUCGGCCCAACCGGUCUGACCGGUUCGGACCGAAGCGGUCCGGUUAUGUCCGGUCCAGCUGACCCAAAUCAGUGGGUCGGGUCAGUCGGACCGAGAACCGGUCUGACCGACCCGAAUCCACUUGGAUUCGGUCAACUAAAUCGCACACAACCAUCGAACCGGCCGGUCCGACCGGUUCGAUCCGAACAAUUAAAAAACCGACAUUUUUAAAACAAUUUCAGAUCCGAUUUUCCAAUUUUAAACAAUUUUAAAGCUGGAAAAAUUCUAAACAAUAUUUCAAAAAUAUUUUAAACUUACGAAAACUCCCAAUUACAUAAUACGACAAACACUACUUUAAUAAAUCGAACAUGCAUAAAAUUAUAGCACAUAAACACGAACGCAAUUAAUUGCACAACGAGCUCUGAUACCACUAUUGGGUUUCGGGCACGCAUACGCAGCGGAAAACAAAAAUUUAUGCGAUUUAAACGACUUUAAAAACACAUAAGAACAUGCCCGAUAAAUUAAAUUCAAUUAAUUGCGUACCUUUGCGCUUCCAGCGAAAUUAAAACAACAUACAUGCUAAUAAAUUUAACCGAAUUUAAAUCAAUUAACAUGCUCGCGUUUUAAACCAAAUAACAUGCUCGUAACGAUUUAAUCGAUUACACAUAAUCACAUAAAAUCAUACAAACACAAGCAUGAAAUCAUAGUUUAAACUAAACCCUAAACGAAACUAGGGUUUCGUAUAUUUACCUCUUGACGCGCGAGGUAGGAGCGAUUAGCACUUCGUGAUUACUACGGAAACCAAUCCGUAGAAUCGGGGCAGCAGCGGUGCGUGGGCAGCAGCGGCGCGUGAGGUCACGGCGGCGCGUGUGGUGUACGCGCGGCUUCGGGGCGGCGCGUGGGGCAGCGUGCGGCUUCGGCUCGUGCGUUGCUCCUCGAUUCUUCGAUCUACAGUCUUCCUCCUCUCGGAUUUCACCUCGUAUACUUCGAUCUACUAAAUCGUGGCACUAGACACGAAGUAGUUAGAAUAAAACGGAAAGAAAAUAAAAGGAGAAAGAAUACCGAACAAGAACCGCCGACGAACGGCCGGUUCCGGCGACGGUGGUGCGGUGGUGGCCGCGCAGGAGAGGGGGGCGAGAGAGAGAGGGUCGGCCGCUUAGGGUUAGGGUUUUGGUUGUCUGUGCAAGGGCUAUAAAUCAUGUAUUUAUAGUCCCUUGUAUAAAACCCUAGCGGGCUUAAGUUGGACUGGGCCCAACUGCUUAAGCUCGUUAGUUUCUUUACUCGCUCGUAUCUCUCAAUUCAAUGAUCGAAAAAUUGUAACGAUUACAUUUUCCGAGUCAUUAUAAUUUCCUCGUCAUUACGAGUGCCAUCUCUUAUUUUCCAACUUUCCAAAAGUGGAAACCCUAAUUCAGUGCACUUUCUAAAUUUGGAAACUUCCCGAUUUAGAAAGUCCACUAAGAUGUUCGCCUAUUCUUUUCCUUUUCUUAUUCUCAUUCAUAAUUCCAAAUUACGAAUGUUGGACUCAAUCAUAUUGACUUCCAAUCAUGCAAAGAUGAACUAUUUUAUCUCUGACCGUUUAUUCAAAGAUCUCAUGUGCACGAGCAGUGUGACCCUCGAUGGUUCAGGUGUAAGCUAGCCGUGGGCCCACAACCCUUUGUGGUCAAAACUCGUCCCCUUCGAGUUACGAUUAAGAUGAAGCUCGUUUCACCUUAAUCACCCAACGAAUCAAGAUUGGCGUCUAGCAACUACGCAUCAUGAUUCCCUAGAUACAAAUGAAGUGCCUGCAAGAACCUUCAGACAUAGUUAACGUACAGUACGGUCCCUUCGAUUCAUAUGUCCCGAUCGAACUAGAGGCAUUGGUUCAUCGAGACCUCUUUAUAUGUUCGAUGACGGUGCGAUCGUUCUAAGUGUUGUAAUCCUUACGUGCAUGACUUAGAGAAUCGGAUUCCCUAAUCAUCACUUAGUCAGCUCUGGCCAGAGACUUAGAAUGAUUACAAACUUUCAGAACACACAGGACAUCCAAGACUAUUCUAGCGAUCGAAUCCCCGACUACAAUGCACAGACCUCCCACUAGAUUUCGGACUGCACGAACACUGGCCCUUGGGAUGGUCCUCGGUGGAACUCAGGGACAGGUCACGAUACAGCUGGUCCUCUAGUGAAGUCACGGUGAUGUCUAUGUCAUAAGGACUAAUGGUGUACAACUAUACCAUAGAUAUCUCUACUCGAUUAUUGGGAACCACUUAGAGAUUUCUAGGGUGAGGGAGUUCAGUGAACUCGUCAACUUACGAGCACCCACUUGUGCAUGCCGAUAUCACAAUACCGUUUACUGAUGAGAUGCAGUACACAUACACUAAGUGCUAUUCUUAAUGGGAAAGGCCGAUAUCCUCAUUAGUGGCGUAACCCUUCGACUAGGAACACGUUUAACAGUUAUAAUACUUAAGUAAAUAUCUCACGAUCCUAACGAUCAAAUUACUAGUACUUGUAAUAACUGUAAGGACUAUAUCUAUGCUUGUGACAAAGGGACAAAGAUAUAGAAUGCCAAUGUGUUUUAUCAUUAAUACGAAUAAAGGUUCGUUUAUUACAAUAACAAAUACGAAAGACCACAGCCACAAGUUGGCUUGUUGGUCACCUACUCUAACACUAACUACAUAAUUAAUUACAUUAAUUAAUUAUCGAGUUUUUCAAAAUAAUUAUAGAACCUCAACUAGCAUAAAUCAUUUAAAUAAUGUUGAGGUACUACUAAUUAAGUUGAACUUAUAAUCAAUAUUAUAAAUGUGUUCUAUUAAUUGAAAUCAAUUUAACAAUUUAAAUUAAUUAAUUAAUCUAACACCUAUUUACUAAAAUAGAUGAUUGUCGAUCCAAUUAUCUAAUUGGGAUUAAUUGAAAAUAAUUUUCCAAAAAUUAAAAUCAAUUUGUUUUAAGUUUAAUUUUAGAAAUCUGAAUUUUUUUUUUUUUAUUUUUUUUUUUAUUUUCAGUGAACCGGUUCGGCCCAACCGGUCUGACCGGUUCGGACCGAAGCGGUCCGGUUCUGUCCGGUCCAGCUGACCCAAAUCAGUGGGCCGGGUCAGUCGGACCGAGAACCGGUCUGACCGACCCGAAUCCACUUGGAUUCGGUCAACUAAAUCGCACACAACCAUCGAACCGGCCGGUUCGACCGGUUCGAUCCGAACACCUAAAAACCGAUGUUUUAAAAAUAAUUUCAGAUCCGAUUUUCCAAUUUUAAACAAUUUUAAAGCUGGAAAAACUCUAAACAAUAUUUCAAAAAUAUUUUAAACUUACGAAAACUCCCAAUUACAUAAUACGACAAUCACUACUUUAAUAAAUCGAACAUGCAUAAAAUCAUAGCAUAUAAAACGACGCAAUUAAUUGCGCAACGAGCUCUGAUACCACUGUUGGGUUUCGGGCACGCAUACGCAGCGGAAAACAAAAAUUUUAUGCGAUUUAAACGACUUUAAAACACACAAUUACAUGCCCGACAAAUUAAAUCAAUUAAUUGCGUACCUUUGCGCUUCCAGCGAAAUUAAAAACAACAUACAUGCUAAUAAAUUUAACCGAAUUUAAAUCAAUUAACAUGCUCGCGUUUAAACCAAAUAACAUGCUUGUAAUGAUUUAAAACGAUUACACAUAAUCACAUAAAAUCAUACGAAACAAACAUGAAAUCAUAGUCUAAACCUAAUCGAAUCGAAACUAGGGUUUCGUGUAUUUACCUCUUGACGCGUGAGGUAGGAGCGUUUAACACGUCGAGAUUGCUACGGAAACCAAUCCGUAGAAUCGGGGCAGCAGCGGUGCAGCGGCAGCAGCGGCGCGUGAGGUCACGGCGGCGCGUGCGGUAUACGCGCGGCUUCGGGGCGGCGCGUGGGGCAGCGUGCGGCUUCGGCUCGUGCGUUGCUCCUCGAUUCUUCGAUCUACGAUCUUCCUCCUCUCGGAUUUCACCUCGUAUACUUCGAUCUACUAAAACGUGGCACUAGACACGAAGUAGUUAGAAUAAAACGGAAGAAACGAAAAGAGGAAAGAAUACCGAAAAGAAACGGCCGAUGGACGGCGACGGAGAGGCGACAGCGGCGCGGUGGUGGCCGCGGAAAGAGAGGCCGAGAGAGAGAGGGGUCGGCCGCUUAGGGUUAGGGUUUUGUGUGUUUGUGCAACGCCUAUAAAUCAUGUAUUUAUAGUCCCUUGCAUAAAACCCUAGCGGGCUUAAGUUGGACCGGGCCCAACAGCUUAAGCUUGUCAGUUCCUUUAAUCGCUCGUCUCUCUCAAUUCAAUGUCCGAAAAAUUGCAACGAUUACAUUUUCGGAAUCAUUAUAAUUUCCUCGUCAUUACGAGUGCCAACUCUCGAUUUCCAACUUUCCAAAAGUGGAAACCCUAGUUCAGUGCACUUUCUAAAUUUGGAAACUUCCCGAUUUAGAAAGUUCACUAAUACUUUCGCCUAUUCUUUUCUCUUUCUUAUUCUCAUCCGUAAUUCCAAAUUACGAAUGUUGGACUUAAUCAUAUUGACUUCCAAUCAUGCAAAGAUAAACUAUUUUAUCUCUGACCGUUUAUUCAAAGAUCUCAUGUGCACGAGCAGUGUGACCCUCGAUGGUUCAGGUGUAAGCUAGCCGUGGGCCCACAACCCUUUGUGGUCAAAACUCGUCCCCUUCGAGUCACGAUUAAGAUGAAGCUCGUUUCACCUUAAUCACCCAACGAAUCAAGAUUGGCGUCUAGCAACUACGCGUCAUGAUUCCCUAGAUACAAAUGAAGUGCCUGCAAGAACCUUCAGAUAUAGUUAACGUACAGUACGGUCCCUUCGAUUCAUAUGUCCCGAUCGAACUAGAGGCAUUGGUUCAUCGAGACCUCUUUAUAUGUUCGAUGACGGUGCGAUCGUUCCAAGUGUUGUAAUCCUUACGUGCAUGACUUAGAGAAUCGAAUUCUCUAAUCAUCACUUAGUCAGCUCUGGCCAGAGACUUAGAAUGAUUACAAACUUUCAGAACACACAGGACAUCCAAGACUAUUCUAGCGAUCGAAUCCCCGACUACAAUGCACAGACCUCCCACUAGAUUUCGGACUGCACGAACACUGGCCCUUGGGAUGGUCCUCGGUGGAACUCAGGGACAGGUCACGAUACAGCUGGUCCUCUAGUGAAGUCACGGUGAUGUCUAGGUCAUAAGGACUAAUGGUGUACAACUAUACCAUAGAUAUCUCUACUCGAUUAUUGGGAACCACUUAGAGAUUUCUAGGGUGAGGGAGUUCAGUGAACUCGUCAACUUACGAGCACCCACUUAUGCAUGCCGAUAUCACAAUACCGUUUACUGAUGAGAUGCAGUACACAUACACUAAGUGCUAGUCUUAAUGGGAAAGGCCGAUAUCCUCAUUAGUGGCGUAACCCUUCGACUAGGAACACGUUUAACAGUUAUAAUACUUAAGUAAAUAUCUCACGAUCCUAACGAUCAAUUACUAGUACUUGUAAUAACUGUAAGGACUAUAUCUAUGCUUGUGACAAAGGGACAAAGAUAUAGAAUGCCAAGGUGUUUUAUCAUUAAUACGAAUAAAGGUUCGUUUAUUACAAUAAUAAAUACGAAACACCACAGCCACAGGUUGGCUUGUUGGUCACCUACUCUAACAUGUAUAGCGUCGCUAGGCCAUGCUCGAACUUCCCCUUCUCCACCACAUUCGAACGAUCUUGGUCCGUUGUGAAUUUGAACACAAUCCACCCCGUAGGAUGGAUCUGAAACUUCACCGGGACCUCCCAUUGAGCCUUGAUCGCGCGUAUGGCCUCAACUCCGGGGAAUUUCCCCGGAAAAUAAGCGACGGCCAAAAACACGCCCUUCGUUCCCCAAUCUGUCUCGUCAUCUUCAUCAAAUUUGAGGACGUUUGUGUCGUCCAAGCCUUUCACUGAAUCCAGUGCAAGAUCCUCCGGUGGUGGCGGCCGUCCUUUGAAGAAUUGAUCCCAAUUCACUCGUUCGCCCUCGCCGGAUUGCUGCCCCGUUGUAGAUCCACGAAUUUCACCCGCCAUUGAUGUUUCGGCAUGUGGAAUUGUGGAUGACGUCGUAGCCACAAUCGGAGUUGUGACCGGUGUCGUCCCAGCGGGGGCCGGGACCACACCAUCCCCAACACCGGCCACUCCUUUUCCUUUCCCGGCCGCGGCCGGUUUCACGCUAUCCCCUCCACCAGCAGUUCCUUUGCCUUUGUCACCCGACACACCCCCGCCCUUUUUCCUGGCCAUAGCGGCCGUCAAACCCUAGCCCCUUGUAGCACCCUACCCAAGCCCAAUCCGCCAAGCCCACGAGAAACCCUAGCCGCCCACACCGGCCAAGAUCCCCCAACACCGGCCGGAAAACCCUAGCCGCCAAAGGAACCCUAGCCCCCCAAAACCGGCCGGUAACCCUAGCCGCCCACCUCCGGUCAACAAACCCUAGCCCCAAGGCCCACUAAGCGACCCAACACCGGCCCAAAACCCUAGCCGUCAAGGGUUUGGGAAAAACCCUAGCCGUCAAUUCCGCCGGAUCCCUAACACCGGCCGUUUGCCCCCAACCGGAAUCAAUGGCCGUCAAUAAGCGCACGGCCAAGAUCCUGCGGAGAUACCUCCAAAACACACGCCGUUACCACUAGGACGUGGCCAAUCCUCACCAAUUCGUAGAUCCGGUCGAUCCACGCACAAACAAACAAGGAAAACACACAAUCACGAUCAAAACACACCCACGUCGAACACACGUACCAGACCUUGAAAACGAAAGAGGAGACAAAACGAAACUCCCGUACCCGACGACAGAUCCACACAAAAUCACCCUCGAUGUGAGCGCGCCGAUGAGACGAAUUGAAUGGUGUUGCCACCACGAGAAUCCGACCACCGGAGAAGGAGGAGCGCCGCCGGAAAGCACCCUUUUUGGUUGAGAAGACCUAGAGGGCGGAAAAAUCUUUUCCUAACUUUGGGGAGCGUUUUCUACACUGAGAGAUUGACUGAGAGCUCUUUCUAGAUUCUAUGGGUGGUGGUGCAUGGCCAUUCUUAGUUGGUGGAGCGAUUUGUCUGGUUAAUUCCGUUAACGAACGAGACCUCAGCCUGCUAACUAGCUAUGCGGAGGUAUUCCUUCGUGGCCAGCUUCUUAGAGGGACUACGGCCUUUUAGGCCGCGGAAGUUUGAGGCAAUAACAGGUCUAUGAUGCCCUUAGAUGUUCUGGGCCGCACGCGCGCUACACUGAUGUAUUCAAUGUAACACCCCGCCCUUUCGGAUAACUCGUUUUAUAUUUUUACUAUUUUUCAUAAGUAGAUUUUACGUUUAGAAUUUUUAUGUGCUAAUAGGAUAAUUUAUUAUGAGCUAGUAUAAUUAAACAUGCAUUCUUGAUGUACUUUAUGUGUGACUUGAAUUAUGUGAUUAGUUGAUUUAUUAGGAUCGAAUAUUUGAAAAUUUUCACACGAAAAUAACUAAUUGAAAAUUUUCAUAUUUUAAUUAGAUUAUUGCAUUCUAGAAUUUAAUUUGGAUAGUUGGAAUAUAUUUAUGCAUACACUAUUUUUUUAGAAAAAUAAUAAAUUCAUGCAUAUUAGAUAAUUAAAUGAGUGAAUAAACUUAGAAAUAAAAAUUUUCCCCACUCUUCUUGUAAUUUUCGGCCAUGUGGAGACACACAUGGACUUUAUUUUCCAUGUGUACAAUUCUUUAAUGUAGAAAGACUCAUUAAUUGGGAGAAUUGAAGGCUUAAGUGGCUUGUACCUUCUUUAUUGAGAAUGGUACUUCACUUUACCUUUUAAUUCAAGACCCACUUUCUCUCUCUUUCCACCUAAGCAUUUGAAACCCAUUCUCUUUCUUCUUCCUCUCUCCCUAAAUUCGGCCAUCACCACCAUCCCUUCACCAAGACUCCAUUUUUACUCAAGCUCAAGCCAUAGAACCAUCUCCAAUCCAACCCACCUAAAGAUGAAAUUCCAAGAACACCCCCAAAUGCUUGCAAAACUCUAUAAAUAGAACCCAACACCCAAAUGAAUUCUCAUCUUCUCCACCAUAUCUUAAAGCUCUUAAGAAAACAUCAUCUCUCUUCUUCUCCUACAUUUCGAAAUUAUUAGUGUAGGAAGCUCAAAAUCUCUCUUCAUUUCCAAAAAGAAGUUUCUUCAACUAGAAGUGUAAGAAAGCUCUCAAUUUUCUUCUUCCUUUUCAAUUUCGAAAAUUCCCUAAUGUUUUCUUCUAAUUUCUUUAUAAUUUCUUCAAGGUUCUUGUAGUGGGUUAUUCAAUCCACCAAUUCCUUCAUAUUCCCAAGAGAAACUAGGUGAGAAUUUCAUAUUCUUGCUACAAGUGAUUCUUCACCAAUAUUAUUUCUUCUUUCUCCUUCUUUGUUCUUAAUGGCCGAAAAUUUGGGAAGUUAUAUUACUUUGCUUGUUUAUUGUUAGAUGAUCCAUGCAUGUAAUGAUCUAAGCGUUAAUUGAAAUAAUCUUGAAGAACUAAGAAUAAUAUGAUAAUUUAAUUUUUAUUUAUGUAUAUGUAAAUAUAUAUAUACUAGACCUGCGUGAUCUUAAGGAAACUUCGAUCCAUGGUUUUCGUAAACCUGCGUGGUCGAAGAAAGUACUUGAUCCAUGGUUUAUUUAUAAUCUAUAUGUGCUAUAUAUAAGUAUAUGUUUCUAUGUGUAUAUAUAUCGACCUGCGUGGUUGUAAGUGUACUCCCUUCGGGUCGAGGAAGCUUAUGAUCCAUGGUUUAUGAUCUAUGAGUAAUAAGAUAAUAUACGAAGAUAAAAACCGAGAACAAGAUUAAUAAAAAUGGAAUUGAGUGCGAUUGAAUUGUUGAUGAUGGUUUGAAUAUUUUGGAAAGAAGAUGUAAUAAAUGAAAUUUGGUGUUACUUGAGAGAAAACUUCAAGUCUCUUGAGAAAGAGGGCUUGAACUUUAAUUAAUGAAACUUGGAGAUAGUAAUUAUAAAUAACCGAAUGCUUUGAAUUGUUUUCCUUUAUGUGUAAAUAUGUGAUCUAUGUUCUUUGCUUGAGUUUUACUUGCUUUUGUGAUUUUGUGACUAAACUAUGUGCAUUUGUGAAAUAUGUGGAAAUAUGUGUGCUUAUGUGAAAGCUAACUUUGAAUAUGUGAAAUGAAGAAUAUAUACUAACUUCACUUGCACGUUUUUAAAGUUGGAAAAUCUUGUAAAACAUAGAUCGAAUAAGCACGGGGUAUGAGGGACCGGUACCCCAAAAAUGAGAUGAAGAGUGUGUGGUUUGAUUCCACUUAUGAAACGGGUUCCAAAUAAAUGAAGGCUUAUUGUCUAUGGUUUUACUUGAUUUUUCAAAGGAUAUCCGAGCGAAAAAUGUUUUCUCACACACCUAAUCAAAUUGCUUGAAAUGAAUGAAAGUAUGUACUAACCUCACUUGCACGUUUUUAAAAUUGGAAAGUCUUGUAAAACAUAGAUCGAAUAAGCACGGGGUAUGAGGGACCGGUACCCCAAACAUGAGAUGAAGAGUGUGUGGUUUGAUUCCACUUAUGAAACGGGUUCCAAAUAAAUGAAGGCUUAUUGUCUAUGGUUUUACUUGAUUUUCCAAAGGAUAUCCGACUAAAGAAAAUGAUUUUUCUUGCACGUUGUAUGAGCACUUGAAUGAAUGUAUGUGCAAAAGAAUGACGACUCCCUUGUGAGGGAUCUCCUCUUAUUCCUUAUGAAAUGAUGAAAGGAAGGUUUAAGAGGUAAAUCGAAAUGUUCUAAGAGGUAAACCGAGAAGGUAAAGGUAAAUCGGUAAAUUUUCUUAAAGAAAUGGUGAUUGAGGUAUAUGUAUAUUUGUAUAUGUAUGACUAUAUAAUUCCUUGUCCAAGUGUAUUUGAUAUUCUAUGGAAUUCUCAUUGAGUCUCAAAGACUCAUAUAGGUGUUGAAUUGCUUGUAGGAUAACCCGAUUUCGAGCCCGAGGAUCGUGGUUGAAGUUGAGUUCGUGGAUCGGGAGAAGAGUUCAUAUGGAGGCAUGGUGGAUUUUGGGUGCUCUUAAUAUACUAAUGUGGUUUUAUUUGUAUAAUUUGCUAUUAAGGAUAUUCGACACCGUUCUAUGUGUUUACUAUCGUUCUCUCCCGCCUAUUGGAGGAACUUACUAUUGAUGCAUAAUAUGUAAUGUUACUUAGGAGUAAAAUUACCUCUUUUGAUAUAUGUUAUGGUAUUUCCUAAAAAACUUGUGUAACUUUAGGGCAAGUUUUCCUAAAAACCUUAUAAAAUGUCCAUCGGCUAGUUAUGUGUUGUGUUCUGCCUAGUAGUUUAAUAAUUUGUGUUAAUUAUCUCUUGUAUACAUUAUUGCAUGCAAUUUUACAGCAUCAUAGGUCUAUCUGUUAGGUUCAUGUUGAUAGGUCUUUUGCAUUAAUUGGAUAAGCCAUGAAUUAAUUAUGAAUUGUUUCCCAACACUGCUCUGAAACAGAGUCAUUUUAGUAUUUACAAUAAAAUAUGAAGUUUUUCUCACUAAAAAGGAUUUAUUCCACUUGGGAUAAACUCCUAACUUACUAAUGUGCUUUAUUAUAGAAUUUGAUGAUUUCUCAAACAGUAGAGAAUUUAUAAAGAUUUUUCAAAGAUCACUCCCCUGCUUUAGAUUUUUAAACUGUACAGAUGUACCAUUUUAAUUAUUCCUUUCAAAUGGCUAAAGUUAUUUAAAAACUGUUUUUACUAGGAUAUCUAGGCCCUUAUUAGAGCAUGUGGUAAAAAAUUUAAGUGUUUUGCAUGAGCGGUUAGAGAGUUAUUAAUUUGUUUGAUUGAUAGAUCGAAACUGUCCAAAAUUUUCUCACAUUGCUAAAAUGGGACUUAAUCUCUAGUCAUGCAUGCAUAGUUUGUGAAAUUGAUUAAGUGAAUGUUGUUUGGUAAUAUGUGGACACUCUUACUCUGAUUCUAAAAGAAAAAAAAUUUCGGAAUUUUCUAUUCCCGAUUAAUAUAUUUCAAAGUCUUCCGCUAUCAUAUUCUAAAAUACUAAUUAGGUAUAACUAGAAAAUGGGUGUCACACAUACGUGGUAUCAGAGCAACGAUCCCCGGAAAAUCUCCAUAUGAACUUAAAGAUCUCCGAAAUCCUCGAAUGACGACAUCAACUAAGAACUCGGGCAGGUAUGUGUUUAUAUGUGCACAUUUCUUAACUAAUAAGAAGUGUUUAUUUGUUUUAAGUACUAAAGUGUCGGGAGCACAAACUCGAGCUCAAAACGCCGCUAACGGUCCGAACGAUCAAUCUCGCACCAUACAAGACCUCACCGCCCUCGUCCGAGAACAAAAUGAACAAAUUCAACUCCUUGUUAACCUCCAAAACCAGAACCCUCCACCCCCACCAACUCAAAAUACCGCACCCCACGCCAUUUACGAAAGGUUUCUAAGAAUGCACCCCGCCGAAUUCCAUGGAGGCCCCGAUCCAACCAUAGCCGAAGAAUGGAUCAAAUCCCUAGAAGUCAUUUUCGACUACAUGGAAAUGUCCAACCGAGAUCGAAUCCAUUGUUCUCUUUUCCUAUUGAAGAACGAAGCCCGUCAUUGGUGGGAAGGUACCAAAGAAGGAAUCGACCUAACGAACACUACUUGGAGCGCUUUCAAAAUCUUGUUCUUCGAAAAGUACUUUUCCAAAAACCUCCGAGCUCAGAAGCUAAAGGAAUUUCUCGAGCUAAAGCAAGGCAACUUAUCCGUAGCCGAGUACGUACGGCGAUUCGAACAAGGAUGUCUCUACGCCCCAUUCAUAUCACGAGACGCCGACGAAAAGGCCAACCAUUUCCUUAGAGGCCUCAACCCGGUCAUUCAACGAGAUGUCCGCAUGUCUUCCGUAACGACUUUUCGAAAAAUAGUCGACAAAGCACUCGAAGCAGACCAAGCCGAGCAAGUGAUUCGUCAAUCUCGAUCCGUUCCACCCGCCACUACUCACAAAUGGAAGAGGCCCCACCCCGGACCGAGCCAAAACAAUGGAAAACGUCCAAUGAUUCAAAACCAUGCUACACCACCAGCCCGACCGAUUUGCCCAAAAUGUCGGAAACCUCACUUUGGACCAUGUGCUCAAGGAACCAACAAUUUUUAUCGCUGCGGAAAACCAGGGCACUUGAUAAGGGAUUGCCCACAACCCCCACCGCAAAACCGAGCUCCCGGUCGAGUGUUUGCAAUGACCAAAGAUGAAGCCGAAGACGACCCUUCGAUGAUAGCAGGUACAAUUUACGUUUGUAACAAUCUCGUUUAUGCUCUAGUUGAUUCCGGAUCGACUCACUCAUUCGUCUCGAGUACCCUCGCCGCCAAAUUCCCAAUAACCCCUACCACAUCUAGUGAAUUAUUCACAAUUCGCUUACCGUCCGGCAAUGACUUAGAAUCCGACCUCUUUUUCAAAGAUUGCCCAAUCCAAAUCCAAAAGAAGCCACUCAAUUCCAACCUCAUAAUUCUCCCUAUAGACCAUUUCGAAGUAAUCCUCGGAAUGGAUUGGUUGUCCAAAUUUAAAGUCCAAAUUAAUUGUGCGACCAAAACCGUCUAUCUUUCUUUACCACACGGCCAAACAGUGGAAUUCCAAGGGUCCUACUCACCUUCACUCCAAAUCCUCUCCGCCGUCAAAACACUUAAGCUCGCCCGAAAGGGGCAUUGUUGUCAUUUGGUCGACAUAGUCGAAAUUUCUGACGAAAGUAAACGUGACCCUUCCAAAGUACCUAUCGUUUGUGAUUUUCUCGAUGUCUUUCCCGAAGAUCUCCCCGGUAUCCCACCCGAUCGUGAAAUCGAAUUCGAGAUCAACCUAGUUCCGGGCGCAACUCCCAUUUCCAAAGCACCCUACCGCAUGGCUCCGCUAGAACUUAAAGAACUCAAGGACCAAAUUCAAGAGCUUAUCGAUAAGAAGUUUGUUCGCCCUAGCUUCUCUCCUUGGGGCGCUCCCGUCCUCUUCGUCAAAAAGAAAGAUGGAACCCUCCGCCUAUGUAUCGACUACCGAGAGCUUAACAAAGUCACGAUCAAGAAUAAAUAUCCUCUACCGAGAAUCGACGACCUUUUCGACCAACUCCAAGGCUCCACGGUGUACUCAAAGAUCGAUCUCCGUUCCGGCUAUCACCAAUUGAAAAUCAAGAAAGAAGACAUCCCAAAAUCCGCUUUCCAAACUCGUUACGGCCAUUACGAGUUUGUAGUAAUGCCAUUCGGUCUAACCAACGCCCCGGCCGCUUUCAUGGAUCUAAUGAACCGAAUCUUCCGUAAGUACCUCGACCAAUUUGUGAUCGUCUUCAUCGAUGACAUCUUAAUCUACUCCCGAAACAACGAAGAACACGAAGGACAUUUGAGAAUCGUGCUCCAAACCCUCCGAGAAAACCAACUUUACGCAAAGUUCUCCAAAUGUGAAUUUUGGUUACGCCAAGUCCACUUCCUUGGGCACGUGAUCUCAAAAGAAGGAAUAUCGGUUGAUCCAAGCAAGAUCGAAGCCGUUUGCAAUUGGCCGACUCCCCGAAAUGUUGGAGAAAUUCGAAGCUUCCUCGGUCUCGCGGGUUACUAUCGACGAUUCGUUCCGAACUUCUCCAAAAUCGCUUCUCCACUCACUCGAUUGACCCGAAAAGAAGCCAAGUAUCAAUGGACCGCCGAGAGCUCAAGAAUCGAUCAACUUCCGCCCCAAUUCUUGCCUUACCCGACCAAACCGGAAACUACGUAGUCUAUAGCGAUGCUUCCAAGCAUGGACUUGGAGCCGUCUUGAUGCAAAAUGGGAACGUAAUUGCCUAUGCCUCUCGUCAAUUGAUAGACUACGCGAAGAACUACCCGACGCACGACUUGGAACUUGCCGCCGUAGUUUUCGCCCUCAAAAUUUGGAGGCACUAUCUCUACGGAGAGAAGUGUUCGAUCUUCACCGACCACAAAAGCCUAAAGUACUUCUUCACCCAAAAGGAACUUAACAUGAGACAAAGACGAUGGCUCGAACUGGUCAAAGAUUACGAUUGCGAAAUACUUUACCACCCCGGUAAAGCUAAUGUCGUGGCCGAUGCUCUUAGCCGGAAGUCCAUGUGCGCUUUGAUCAUUGAACCGCCGCUCAAGUCGACUAUAAAAUCCGCCCAAAUCCUUGAUGAUCAACUUCUAAAAAUCCGAGAAAGCUUAUCAACCGGUCGAAAUCCUAAUUUCUCGAUCUCCGACGGCGAAGUCUUAAAAUUCCAAGGAAGAAUUUGCGUUCCGGCAAACAAAGAGAUAAAAGAAUUAAUUCUCGGCGAAGCUCACAAAACCCCCUACUCUUGCCACCCGGGUGAAACAAAAAUGUACCAAGACUUGAAGAAAUUAUAUUGGUGGCCCGGAAUGAAGAAAGACAUAGCCAAAUUCGUGUCCGAAUGCCUAGUGUGUCAACAAGUCAAGACGGAACACCAACGGCCCGGCGGACUUCUUCAACCCAACCUCAUACCCGAAUGGAAGUGGGAAAGAGUAACCAUGGAUUUCGUUCAAGGAUUUCCGAAAACUCAAAAAGGUUCCGACUCAAUAUGGGUGAUAGUUGAUCGGCUAACCAAAUCCGCUCACUUUCUACCGGUCAAGACUACCUUUAGUCUCGAAAAGCUAGCCGAACUUUACAUCCGAGAAAUUGUUCGACUCCACGGGAUUCCUAUAUCAAUCAUUUCCGAUCGAGACCCCCGAUUCACUUCAAAAUUUUGGAAGAGCUUGCACGAAGCAAUGGGGACCCGUCUAGCCUUUAGUACGGCAUACCAUCCCCAAACCGACGGUCAAUCCGAGAGAACGAUCAAAACUCUUGAAGAUAUGCUCCGAGCAUGCAUAAUGGAUUUUGGUGGCAAUUGGGAAAGCCGACUACCACUCAUCGAAUUCUCGUACAAUAAUAGUUACCAAUCAUCGAUCGAAAUGGCGCCAUACGAAGCAUUAUACGGAAAAAAGUGCCGAUCUCCAAUCCAUUGGGACGAAGUCGGCGAGCGAAAAUUAUUGGGCCCCGAACUAGUCCAACACACCGUCGACAUAAUCAAAAACAUCCGGGAGAAAAUGAAGUCGGCCCAAGAUCGCCAACAAAAAUACGCAAAUAAAAGGAGACGAGACUUAGAAUUCAAUGUUGGCGACCACGUAUUUCUAAAAGUCGCUCCACUCAAAGGAAUUGUGCGAUUCGGAAAACGAGGGAAGUUAAGCCCUCGAUAUAUUGGACCUUUCGAAAUUCUCAAUCAAAUUGGUACUCAAGCCUAUCGCCUUGCCCUACCACCACAUCUAACUCGAAUACACAAUGUCUUUCAUGUAUCCAUGCUCCGAAAAUACGUUCCUAGCCCCAACCAUGUCCUCAAAAUCGAACCCGUAGACUUAUCUCCGAACCUAUCCUUUAUUGAAGAACCCACCCAAAUUCUAGACCGAAAGAUUAAGAAACUCCGAAAUAAAGAAAUCCGCCUUAUCAAAAUUCUUUGGAAAAACCAUUCUCCGGACGAGGUGACGUGGGAACUCGAGGAUGAGAUUGAGAGUCGGUACCCGGGAUUAAUGAAGAAAGGUACAAAUUUCAGGGACGAAAUUUCUUUAAGGGGGGGAGAUUGUAACACCCCGCCCUUUCGGAUAACUCGUUUUAUAUUUUAACUAUUUUUCAUAAGUAGAUUUUACGUUUAGAAUUUUUAUGUGCUAAUAGGAUAAUUUAUUAUGAGCUAGCAUAAUUAAACAUGCAUUCUUGAUGUACUUUAUGUGUGACUUGAAUUAUGUGAUUAGUUGAUUUAUUAGGAUCGAAUAUUUGAAAAUUUUCACACGAAAAUAACUAAUUGAAAAUUUUCAUAUUUUAAUUAGAUUAUUGCAUUCUAGAAUUUAAUUUGGAUAGUUGGAAUAUAUUUAUGCAUACACUAAUUUUUUAGAAAAAACAAUAAAUUCAUGCAUAUUAGAUAAUUAAAUGAGUGAAUAAACUUAGAAAUAAAAAUUUUCCCCACUCUUCUUGUAAUUUUCGGCCAUGUGGAGACACACAUGGAUUUGAUUUUCCAUGUGUACAAUUCUUUAAUGUAGAAAGACUCAUUAAUUGGGAGAAUUGAAGGCUUAAGUGGCUUGUACCUUCUUUAUUGAGAAUGGUACUUCACUUUACCUUUUAAUUCAAGACCCACUUUCUCUCUCUUUCCACCUAAGCAUUUGAAACCCAUUCUCUUUCUUCUUCCUCUCUCCCUAAAUUCGGCCAUCACCACCAUCCCUUCACCAAGACUCCAUUUUUACUCAAGCUCAAGCCAUAGAACCAUCUCCAAUCCAACCCACCUAAAGAGGAAAUUCCAAGAACACCCCCAAAUGCUUGCAAAACUCUAUAAAUAGAACCCAACACCCAAAUGAAUUCUCAUCUUCUCCACCAUAUCUUAAAGCUCUUAAGAAAACAUCAUCUCUCUUCUUCUCCUCCAUUUCGAAAUUAUUAGUGGAGGAAGCUCAAAAUCUCUCUUCAUUUCCAAAAAGAAGUUUCUUCAACUAGAAGUGUAAGAAAGCUCUCAAUUUUCUUCUUCCUUUUCAAUUUCGAAAAUUCCCUAAUGUUUUCUUCUAAUUUCUUUAUAAUUUCUUCAAGGUUCUUGUAGUGGGUUAUUCAAUCCACCAAUUCCUUCAUAUUCCCAAAAGAAACUAGGUGAGAAUUUCAUAUUCUUGCUACAAGUGAUUCUUCACCAAUAUUAUUUCUUCUUUCUCUUUCUUUGUUCUUAACGGCCGAAAAUUUGGGAAGUUAUAUUACUUUGAUUGUUUAUUGUUAGAUGAUCCAUGCAUGUAAUGAUCUAAGCGUUAAUUGAAAUAAUCUUGAAGAACUAAGAAUAAUAUGAUAAUUUAAUUUUUAUUUAUGUAUAUGUAAAUAUAUAUAUACUAGACCUGCGUGAUCUUAAGGAAACUUCGAUCCAUGGUUUUCGUAAACCUGCGUGGUCGAAGAAAGUACUUGAUCCAUGGUUUAUUUAUAAUCUAUAUGUGCUAUAUAUAAGUAUAUGUUUCUAUGUGUAUAUAUAUCGACCUGCGUGGUUGUAAGUGUACUCCCUUCGGGUCGAGGAAGCUUAUGAUCCAUGGUUUAUGAUCUAUGAGUAAUAAGAUAAUAUACGAAGAUAAAAACCGAGAACAAGAUUAAUAAAAAUGGAAUUGAAUGCGAUUGAAUUGUUGAUGAUGGUUUGAAUAUUUUGGAAAGAGAAUGUAAUAAAUGAAAUUUGGUGUUACUUGAGAGAAAACUUCAAGUCUCUUGAGAAAGAGGGCUUGAACUUUAAUUAAUGAAACUUGGAGAUAGUAAUUAUAAAUAACCGAAUGCUUUGAAUUGUUUUCCUUUAUGUGUAAAUAUGUGAUCUAUGUUCUUUGCUUGAGUUUUACUUGCUUUUGUGAUUUUGUGACUAAACUAUGUGCAUUUGUGAAAUAUGUGGAAAUAUGUGUGCUUAUGUGAAAGCUAACUUUGAAUAUGUGAAAUGAAGAAUAUAUACUAACUUCACUUGCACGUUUUUAAAGUUGGAAAAUCUUGUAAAACAUAGAUCGAAUAAGCACGGGGUAUGAGGGACUUGUACCCCAAAAAUGAGAUGAAGAGUGUGUGGUUUGAUUCCACUUAUGAAACGGGUUCCAAAUAAAUGAAGGCUUAUUGUCUAUGGUUUUACUUGAUUUUUCAAAGGAUAUCCGAGCGAAAAAUGUUUUCUCACACACCUAAUCAAAUUGCUUGAAAUGAAUGAAAGUAUGUACUAACCUCACUUGCACGUUUUUAAAAUUGGAAAGUCUUGUAAAACAUAGAUCGAAUAAGCACGGGGUAUGAGGGACCGGUACCCCAAAUAUGAGAUGAAGAGUGUGUGGUUUGAUUCCACUUAUGAAACGGGUUCCAAAUAAAUGAAGGCUUAUUGUCUAUGGUUUUACUUGAUUUUCCAAAGGAUAUCCGACUAAAGAAAAUGAUUUUUCUUACACGUUGUAUGAGCACUUGAAUGAAUGUAUGUGCAAAAGAAUGACGACUCCCUUGUGAGGGAUCUCCUCUUAUUCCUUAUGAAAUGAUGAAAGGAAGGUUUAAGAGGUAAAUCGAAAAGUUCUAAGAGGUAAACCGAGAAGGUAAAGGUUAAUCGGUAAAUUUUCUUAAAGAAAUGGUGAUUGAGGUAUAUGUAUAUUUGUAUAUGUAUGACUAUAUAAUUCCUUGUCUAAGUGUAUUUGAUAUUCUAUGGAAUUCUCAUUGAGUCUCAAAGACUCAUAUAGGUGUUGAAUUGCUUGUAGGAUUACCCGAUUUCGAGCCCGAGGAUCGUGGUUGAAGUUGAGUUCGUGGAUCGGGAGAAGAGUUCAUAUGGAGGCAUGGUGGAUUUUGGGUGAUCUUAAUAUACUAAUGUGGUUUUAUUUGUAUAAUUUGCUAUUAAGGAUAUUCGACACCGUUCUAUGUGUUUACUAUCGUUCUCUCCCGCCUAUUGGAGGAACUUACUAUUGAUGCAUAAUAUGUAAUGUUACUUAGGAGUAAAAUUACCUCUUUUGAUAUAUGUUAUGGUAUUUCCUCAAAAACUUGUGUAACUUUAGGGCAAGUUUUCCUAAAAACCUUAUAAAAUGCCCAUCGGCUAGUUAUGUGUUGUGUUCUGCCUAGUUGUUUAAUAAUUCGUGUUAAUUAUCUCUUGUAUACAUUAUUGCAUGAAAUUUUACAACAUCAUAGUUCUAUCUUUUAGGUUCAUGUUGAUAGGUCUUUUGCAUUAAUUGGAUAAGCCAUGAAUUAAUUAUGAAUUGUUUCCCAACACUGCUCUGAAACAGUGUCAUUUUAGUAUUUACAAUAAAAUAUGAAGUUUUUCUCACUAAAAAGGAUUUAUUCCACUUGGGAUAAACUCCUAACUUACUAUUGUGCUUUAUUAUAGAAUUUGAUGAUUUCUGAAACAGUAGAGAAUUUAUAAAGAUUUUUCAAAGAUCACUCCCCUACUUUAGAUUUUUAAACUGUACAGAUGUACCAUUUUAAUUAUUCCUUUCAAAUGGCUAAAGUUAUUUAAAAACUGUUUUUACUAGGUUAUCUAGGCCCUUAUUUGAGCAUGUGGUAAAAAAUUUAAGUGUUUUGCAUGAGCGGUUAGAGAGUUAUUAAUUUGUUUGAUUGAUAGAUCGAAACUGUCCAAAAUUUUCUCACUUUGCUAAAAUGGGACUUAAUCUCUAGUCAUGCAUGCAUAGUUUGUGAAAUUGAUUAAGUGAAUGUUGUUUGGUAAUAUGUGGACACUCUUACUCUGAUUCUCAAAGAAAAAUUUUGUCGGAAUUUUCUAUUCCCGAUUAAUAUAUUUCAAAGUCUUCCGCUAUCAUAUUCUAAAAUACUAAUUAGGUAUAACUAGAAAAUGGGUGUCACAUUCAACGAGUUUAUAGCCUUGGCCGACAGGUCCGGGUAAUCUUUGAAAUUUCAUCGUGAUGGGGAUAGAUCAUUGCAAUUGUUGGUCUUCAACGAGGAAUUCCUACUAAGCGCGAGUCAUCAGCUCGCGUUGACUACGUCCCUGCCCUUUGUACACACCGCCCGUCGCUCCUACCGAUUGAAUGGUCCGGUGAAGUGUUUGGAUCGAGGCGACGUGGGCGGUUCGCUGCCCGCGACGUCGCGAGAAGUCCACUGAACCUUAUCAUUUAGAGGAAGGAGAAGUGGUAACAAGGUUUCCGUAGGUGAACCUGCGGAAGGAUCAUUGUCGAAACCUGCAAAGCAGACCGCGAAUUCGUGAUUAAAUACUCCGGGGAGGCGGCGCGGGGCCGAAAGACCCCGCGCCGUCGACCCAACCCGCCGAUGCGCACGAAACUGCGCCUCGUGCGGACUAACGUACCCCGGCGCGGAAUGCGCCAAGGAAAACUCAACGAAGCGUCCGCCCCCCCGUUGCCUCGUUCGCGAUUUGCGCGGGGGUGCGAGACGUGUCUUGAAUGUCAAAACGACUAUCGGCAAUGGAUAUCUCGGCUCUCGCAUCGAUGAAGAACGUAGCGAAAUGCGAUACUUGGUGUGAAUUGCAGAAUCCCGUGAACCAUCGAGUCUUUGAACGCAAGUUGCGCCCGAAGCCACUAGGCCGAGGGCACGUCUGCCAGGGUGUCACGCAUUACGUCGCCCCCCUCUCUCGCUCCGUCGGGGCAGGAUCGGGGGGCGGAUAUUGGUCUCCCGUGCGCUCGCGCGCGCGGCUGGCCCAAACGAGAUCCCUCGGCGAUGCACGUCACGAGCAGUGGUGGUUGAAUUAACCUCAAUCCGCACUGGUCCGGGAUGCUAAUUGGUACCGUGCCAGACAUGUCAGCUCACCUCGAUGUAAUUUGGGAUGCUGGUUUUGUGUGUUCUUUUAUUGCUGAAUAUAUAAAUUUCUUACUGAUUUUGUUUCAUUUUUUUUUUCAGGAGGCUGGUAAAAGGGCAUUUAAAUGCUUCUUGGCAAAUCCGGACCUCUUCGACAAGUGCACGGACAUAUUCAUCAAGCACACUCCCAGAGCAGCUUUAACCUAUUCGAAGCAGAUAACCGGUAGCAGCAAGCGGGGUGCCGAUGAAAUGCAAACUUCCACUUUGCGGAAUCAGAGACAGAAGACUGACGACGUGGCGAAGGUUCCUUCUUUUACGGAAUGCUAUCAUAUAUUAAAGGCCAUACCAGACUUAGGUGCCGACGUCGUGGCGAAGCUUGUGGUACUGCUGAUAAAUGCCGACUCUAUCAGCAGUACCACAAGCUUCGCCCAAAUCCUUGAUGAUUUGGACAGCGGAUCGUGAAGGCAGCCGACAAUGGGCGGUGAUCAAAAAACUUAAGGCAUUGAAAUCCCCUCUCAAGAGCCUUAAUCGGAACGAAUUUGGUCACAUUUUGGAACGAGCUAAACGGGCAUCUCAUGACCUUGAGGAGAGCCAACAGCAGCUGCAUGACGAUCAGCAUAAUGCAGCCCUGCAACAAGAAGUACUUAGUCGAUCGGAGAAGGCGAAAUUUCUCACAAAGGCGGAACGAAGCUUCUACUACCAAAAGGCGAAGCUACAUUAUUUGAAGAACAACGAUCGGCCGACGAAAUUCUUUCAUGGCAUGGUUAAACGUAAUGCGCAACGAAACCACGUGGCAUCUAUUCGCCGUGCGGACGGGACGAUGACCACUUCACGUGAGGAAGUCCAUGCAGAAUUUUUGAAGUUCUACAUGGAAUUCUUAGGAACACGUCAGCCUUGUGAUGCUAUUGACUUGGAGGUUCUACAUUCCGGGCCAAGGAUUCAAGAGGAUGAUGGUGCUGCUCUUAUGGGACCAAUCCUUAAUUCGAAAAUAAAGGAUGCGUUGUUUGAUAUCUCGGACGACAAGGCUCCGCGACCGGACGGUUUUUCUGCCCACUUUUUCAAACACUCAUGGGACACGGUUGGGCCACUCUUGAUGGAAGUAGUGCAUGAAUUUUUUCGGAGUGGCUCUUUGCUGAAGCAAUGGGAUAACACGGUACUUGUCUUUAUUCCGAAGAAAGUACAAGCUCAAGAAGUGGGGGAUUUUCGACCAAUAGCUUGCUGCAAUGUGAUCUAUAAGGUCAUUGCAAAAGUCCUCACGACCCGUUUAGGCAGCGUUCUACCAAAGAUUAUUGAUAAAGCACAAUCAGCGUUCGUGGGGGGGAGAUCGAUCACAGACAAUAUACACUUGGUGGAACAUCUUAUCCGGCAUUACGAGAGGAAGCGUAUUUCGCCUAGGUGCUUGUUGAAGAUGGACUUACGCAAAGCAUAUGACUCGGUUAACUGGGAAUUUCUCCAAGCUAUGUUGGAGGGCUUGGGUUUCCCAGUUAAAUUCACGGGAUGGAUUAUGCAAUGUGUAACUUCUGUAUCUUAUUCGAUCUCGGUUAACGGUGAAACAAAGGGAUUUUUUCCAGCCAUGCAUGGAUUGAGGCAAGGAGAUCCCUUAUCGCCCUACUUGUUCGUUAUUUGCAUGGAGUAUCUUUCCCGACUACUUCAUGUACGUCCGAUUGAACAAGAACUCAACUACCAUCCAAUGUGCCAUCUCCCCAAGAUAACACAUCUGAUCUUUGCGGACGAUCUUAUGGUAUUUUCUCGAGGAGAUGUGGAAUCGGUCCGUAUCCUCGCCAAGAUGGUCUACGAAUUUGGGCAGGUUUCGGGGCUCAAGGCAAAUCAUGCGAAGUCUAAUAUCUUCUUAGCGGGAGUUAAACCCGAGGACCGAUUAGAGAUCGAAAACGAGUUUCACUUUGCUAAUGGAGAGUUUCCGUUUCGAUACAUUGGGAUUCCACUCGCUGCAUCUAAGUUACGAAUGCUCAACCAUCAACCAUUGCUCGAUAAAAUCGAGCAAGCCAUAGGAGCGUGGACUCGCCAAACACUCUCUUAUGCCGGACGCUUGGAGAUUUUGAAAACCGUGGUUCAAGGUACGUGCUGCUACUGGCUAUCCAUAUUUUCGAUCCCACACGCAGUUAUCGAUCGUAUUGAGACAAUAUGCAAAACGUUUUUAUGGGGUGCGGCGGCCCCAAAAGUAACGUGGCCGAAGUUGUGCAAACCAAAGGAAGAAGGGGGUUUGGGACUUCUUGACUUGACCGAUUGGAAUCGAAGCUUUCUUGUGAAAAAUUUGUGGGAUUUUCACUUGAAGAAAGACUCUCUGUGGAUACAGUGGGUGAGUGAGUUCUAUCUCAAGGGACGAACCAUAUGGGAGUGGUCUCCGUCACUUACUGCUUCACCCUUCUUCAAGAGCAUCAUCCGGAUCCGGGACGAACUGGUGGAGAGCGCGGGGACUACUCAGUUACUUAUUGCUAAGCUGAAAUCUUUUACGGAGCUUGGCAAAUUAAAUGUGAGCAAAGUAUACGACUGGAUUAGGGCUCAGGCCCCGAUCAAACCGUGGGGUAAACUUCUUUGGGCACCAUCUAUGACUCCAAAGCACUCGUUUAUCUUAUGGAUGGCAACCAUGGAUCGAUUGGCCACAAUGGACCGAGUGGAGAAACGCUCACGUGAAGUUGUCAACUCCAAAUGCGUCUUAUGUGGUGUGGAGACCGAGACUAAGAAGCACCUCUUUUUCGCAUGCAACAUGUCUCGAGAGGUGUGGACCAACAUACGGAUAUGGUUGGGUAUCCGCCGAAGACCAACCACAUUGGAUGCCACGCUUAAAUGGCUCAAGAAGGACGUACGAGGGAAGUCGUACCGUAGCAAGACGCAGCGAUGUGCACUAGCAAGUCUCGUGUACCACAUUUGGGAGGCUCGGAAUAAGUGGAAAUUUGAGAAAAUUGGGACUAAUCCGAAGGACCUCACAAGGAAGAUUCAGCUACAUGUUUACUCGGCUAUGUUCAGCCAGCACCCGGAGCUAGCGAUUUCAAGGACGAACGGACAACCGGGCAGCCUUAUGCACCCAUGAGGGCGUGAUCUAGAUGCUAGGCUUCAGUGGGUUUUCCCACUUUUUGUUUUAUGCUUUUAUGCUAGCUUUUUUCUUUUUUCUGCUUUUAUGUUAGCUUAUUUCUUUUUGCUUUCUGCAUUAGGUUCUGCAAUUUCCUCGGGUAUACCCGUUGUAAUUGUCUACGACUUUUUUUGAUUUAUAAUAUUUACAUUUUAAUCAAAAAAAAAAAAAAUAGAAAGAGCUCUCAGUAUGCACCACCACCCAUAGAAUCUAGAAAGAGCUCUCAGUAGUAAAAAACGCUCCCCAAAGUUAGGAAAAGCUUUUUCCGCCCCUAGGGUUUUCUCGACCAAAGGGGUGCUUUCCGGCGGCCGUUCCUCCUUCUCCGGUGAUCGGAUCUCCUUGGUGGUAACACCAAUCGAUUCGUCUCAUCGGCGCGCUCACAUCGAGGGUGAAUUUUUGGGGUUCUAUCUUCGGGUACGGGAGUUUCGUUCUUACCUUCUCUUUCGUUUUUUCAAGGCUUUGUACGUGUUUUCAACGGUGAUUGUGUGUUCAUUCGUUUGCUGGUUGAGGAGCGGCCGGAUCUAGGAUUUCGUGAGGAUUUGCAACAUUGUGGUGGUGACGGUGUGAUUUUGGAGGGUUUUCCGUAGAAGAUUGGCCGGAAAUUCGUUGACGGCCAUUGGUUCCGACCGACGGAAGAUGGCCGCCGUUUGGGUGUCCGGUGGAUCUCGACGGCUAGGGUUCCUUGGUGGGCCGGUGGGCUAGGGUUGGGUGGCUGGUGGUGGGCGGCUAGGGUUGCUUGGUGGGCUAGGGUUCCUUGGCCGGCUUGGCGGCUAGGGUUUCGCGGCCGGUGUUGGGGGCUAGGGUUGCUAGGUGGACUGGGUGGCUUGGGCUUGGGUAGGGUGUUACAAGGGGCUAGGGUUUGGUGGCCGCAAUGGCUAGGAAGAAGACCGGGGGCGGGGCUGGUGACAAAGGCACCGGCAAAGGAACGACCGGUGUGGGGGUAGGUAAGAUCUCGGCCGUGGCCGGGAAAGGGAAAGAAGUGAUCGGUGGGGGUGAAGCCAAGGUCUCGGCCUCGGCCGAUGCGGUACCGGUACCAACUCUGAUUGAGAAAACGACGACAUCCUCGGUCCCACAUGCUGAAACAUCAAUGGCAGGUGUGUUGGGUUUCGGGCACGCGUACGCAGCGGAAAACAAAAAUUUUAUGCGAAUUAAACAACUUUAAAACACAUAAGCACAUGCCCGAUAAUUAAAUCAAUUAAUUGCGUACCUUUGCGCUUCCAGCGAAAUUAAAAACAACAUACAUUGCGUACCUUUGCGCUUCCAGCGAAAUUAAAACAACAUACAUGCUCAAUUAAUUAAUCGAAAUUAAAUCAAUUAGCAUGCUCGCGUUUAAAUCAAAUAAUCAUGCUCGCAAUAAUAAAACCAAUUUCAUGUAGUCACAUAAAAUCAUACAAGUUUCUUAUUAAAACGAACAUGCAUAUAUUAAUUUAAACGUAACCGAAUCGAAUGACAAUAGAUUCGAAACAUUACCUCUUGAAGCCUGAGGUAGGCGCACUAAGCAAAGCUAGAUUGCCACGGAAACCAAUCCGUGCAAUCCGGGGCAGCAACGGCGAUGAUCGGAGCUACGACAGCGCAUGUGAUUCACGCGCAGAGAAGAUGGCUAGCUGCUCUUCCCACUCCUGUUGAUCCAACAUGUUUGCUGAUCUGAAAUUACAGCCUUGCUCCGACUUCAGUAUCUCCAUGCGUAUUUACUGGAUGAACAAUUCCUUCGAGACGAUGGUAGAUUUAUGAGUCGUGCAGCUUCUGUCAAAAUUUCACGUCCAUCGAAUGACCGGUUGAUUUAUGGCGAAUUUUCUCGCUGGGCAGCGCAGAAAAUCCGAGAGCAGUUUUUCGGAAUUGCCUUCUCGCAUCUUCGAUUCUUCGAUCUUCCUCCUCUUGGAUUUCACCUCGUAUACUUCGAUCUACUAAACACGUGGCACUAGACACGUAAUAGUCAGAAUAACGGAAGAAAAGAAAGAAGGAAAGGAAUACCGAAAGAGAUCGGCCAACGGGUGGCCGAUUCCGGCGAAUUUCCGGCGACGGCGCGGUGGUGGCCGUGGGAGAGGGUGGCUGAUCGAGAGAGGCAGCGGCUAGGGUUAUGAACGUGUGUUCUCUUAGUUGUGUGUGUGCAAGACCUAUAAAUCAAGUAUUUAUAUGUCUUGCAUAAAACCCUAACGGGCUUAAGUUGGACCGGGCCCAACAGCUUAAGAUCGUUAGUUCUUUUACUUGCUCAUCUCUCUCAAUUCGAUGAUCGGAAAACUGUAACGAUUACAUUUUCGGAAUCAUUAUAAUGUCCUCGUCAUUACAAGUGCCAACUCUCGAUUUCCAACUUUCCAAAAGUGGAAACCCUAAUUCAGUGCACUUUCUAAAUUUGGAAACUUCCCGAUUUAGAAGGUUCACUAAUACGUUCGCCUAUUCUUUUCCUUUUCUUAUUCUCAUUCAUAAUUCCAAAUUACGAAUGUUGGACCCAAUCAUAUUGACUUCCAAUCAUGCAAAGAUAAACACAUUUUACCUUUGACCGUUUAUUCAAAGAUCUCAUGUGCACGAGCAGUGUGACCCUCGAUGGUUCAGGUGUAAGCUAGCCGUGGGCCCACAACCCUUUGUGGUCAAAACUCGUCCCCUUAGAGUUACGAUUAAGAUGAAACUCGUUUCACCUUAAUCACCCAACGAAUCAAGAUUGGCGUCUAGCAACUACGCGUCAUGAUUCCCUAGAUACAAAUGAAGUGCCUGCAAGAACCUUCAGAUAUAGUUAACGUAUAGUACGGUCCCUUCGAUUCAUAUGUCCCGAUCGAACUAGAGGCAUUGGUUCAUCGAGACCUCUUUAUAUGUUCGAUGACGGUGCGAUCGUUCCAAGUGUUGUAAUCGUCACGUGCAUGACUUAGAGAAUCGAAUUCUCUAAUCAUCACUUAGUCAGCUCUGGCCAGAGACUUAGAAUGAUUACAAACUUUCAGAACACACAGGACAUCCAAGACUAUUCUAGCGAUCGAAUCCCCGACUACAAUGCACAGACCUCCCACUAGAUUUCGGACUGCACGAACACUGGCCCUUGGGAUGGUCCUCGGUGGAACUCAGGGACAGGUCACGAUACAGUUGGUCCUCUAGUGAAGUCACGGUGAUGUCUAGGUCAUAAGGACUAAUGGUGUACAACUAUACCAUAGAUAUCUCUACUCGAUUAUUGGGAACCACUUAGAGAUUUCUAGGGUGAGGGAGUUCAGUGAACUCGUCAACUUACGAGCACCCACUUAUGCAUGCCGAUAUCACAAUACCGUUUACUGAUGAGAUGCAGUACACAUACAGUAAGUGCUAGUCUUCUAAUGGGAAAGGCCGAUAUCCUCAUUGGUGGCGUAACCCUUCGACUAGGAACACGUUUAACAGUUAUAAUACUUAAGUAAAUAUCUCACGAUCCUAACGAUCAAUUACUAGUACUUGUAAUAACUGUAAGGACUAUAUCUAUGCUUGUGACAAAGGGACAAAGAUAUAGAAUGCCAAGGUGUUUUAUCAUUAAUACGAAUAAAGGUUCGUUUAUUACCAUAAUAAAUACGAAAGACCACAGCCACAAGUUGGCUUGUUGGUCACCUACUCUAACAAGGUGAACUUCGUGGAUCCACAAAAGGGCUUCUUUCUGGUGAUGGUGAACGUUUGAAUUGCGCACAAUUCUUCAAAGGCAACCCGCCACCACCGGAGGAUUUAGCUUUGGAAUCGGUGAAAGGACUCGAUGAUUCGAACGUCCUAUGUUUUGAUGAAGAUGACGAGACAGACUGGGGUACGAAGGGUGUGUUCUUGGCUGUAGCAUAUUUUCCGGGGAAAUUCCCCGGAGUUGAAGCCAUUCGUGCAAUCAAGUCUCAAUGGGAGGUCCCGGUGAAGUUUCAGAUCCAUCCAACGGGGUGGAUCGUGUUCAAAUUCACAACGGACCAAGAUCGAAUGAAGGUGGUGGAGAUGGGGAAGUUUGAGCAUGGUCUAGCGACGCUAUACAUUCGCUCCAUGCCUGAGUUUUUCAACUUCGACAUCAACGACAUGAUGUUUGUACCGGUCUGGGUGAUCAUCCGCAAUAUCUCUGCGGAACUCUACAACAAAAAGGCGUUGAGUAAGAUAGCUCAGAAGAUAGGCAAACCGGUCCAAAUGGAUCAAGUUACGAGUGAGAUGGGGAGGCUAGGGUUUGCACGGCUGAAAGUGGAAGUGGAUGCGUCCAAACCUUUAAGACGUUCGCUCACAUUGAUCAAUGCGAAAGGUAAGAGCUACGAGGUCCCAAUCGAAUAUAGCUAUGAACCGGUGUUUUGCUCGAAAUGCCAAACCCUUACACACAAGACGGACCAAUGUAGAGCAGAGACGGUGCUGAAGCGUGGACGAAGCCGUAAGCCCAAAUCGGUGGUGAGUGUUGCACAAGAUCCACUGGUGACCACGGUAUGGGCUGGUAAAAGAACGGUGCUCGCGGAGGAUCCGGAGCCUGAAAUGGAGGUGGAGGCCGUGGAUGCUGAGGAUGUAGUUUCGGAGGAUGGAUCGACCGAGUGCUAUGCAGCGAAUGACGAUGAUCGGGGGUCCUUGGUUGAGUUUAAUGCCCUACACUCCCCAAAAUCCCCGGGAUCAGCCCCCAAGACGAGGUUUACAACGAAAAAGAAGUAUCUUCCACCGGAUGCGAUCUUGUUGCCAAAAGAGGGUGAAUCAAGUUCGGUGGCGGAAAUUGAGUCCAAGUUUGUUCGAGACGAGAGUGAUGAUGCGGAGCCGCGGGGGGGCCUCAAACCCCCAAAGACGAAAUGAUUGUGGGGUGCUGGAAUGUGAGGGGGUUGCUUAACUCCCUCACGCAGAAGGAGGUCGUGGACCUCAUUGGUAAGCACAAACUCUCGGUUUGUGGCUUACUGGAGACGAAGAUUUGGGAUCCGGGAACGCUCAGCUCUAUCAUGGAUCGGCAGUUCCGGCAUUGGAUGAACAUCAAUAAUUUUCACCUCCACACGGCAGGCCGGAUCCUCGUUGUUUGGAACCCGGACGUGGCUCGGGUGGAAGUAGUUGAUAUGACGUCGCAGGUGGUCCAUUGCAAAGUAACGUGUAUGGUCACCCAACGGCUAUGCUACGUUAGUUUUGUGUAUGGACUUUACACCCCGGUUACGAGACGGCCGUUGUGGCAAUCGCUAGUGGAGUUUGGGUCGAGCAUCACUGGGCCGUGGCUUUGUAUGGGCAAUUUUAAUGUGGUCCUCAAACCUGAAGAAAAAUCGGGUGGCAACUUUCUCACCCCCUACUUGAUGAAUGAUAUACAGACGUGCUUUCGACAAAGCGGACUCGAGGAUCUACCCUCAACGGGCUUUCAUUACACGUGGACGAACCAAACGGUGUGGAGCAAGCUUGACCGUGCGAUGGUCAACCAAACGUGGUGCGACGUUUUCGAGGGCAGUUCGGCACAAUUCCUACCGUUUGGGGCGGUGUCGGACCACUCUCCGGUUAUUGUGAAAUUGGGAGGGGCCGAACCCCCGGCAUCUAGGCCAUUUUGGUUCUUCAACAUGUGGACCCAGCACGACGAUUUUCAACGUGAAGUUAGAGAGGUAUGGACGGCAGAUUACCGGGGUAGCCGUCAAUGGGCCGUUUGCAAGAACCUCAAAGCCCUUAAGCAUCCUCUUAAGCGUUUCAACCGACGUGAGUUCGGGCACAUAUCCGAACGGGUGAAACGAGCGGGUGGUGAGCUCGAGGAAAUUCAACAAAUCUACCAAAACGACCCCCAUAAUCAACAUCUUUGUGGGGAGAUGUUGGCUAAAGUGGAAUUUCGCUUCUUGGCAAAAGCGGAGAAGAGCUUCUUCUACCAAAAGGCGAAACUUCACCACUUACGAGACUCGGAUCGCAUGACGAAAUUCUUCCAUGGGAUUGCUAAGAGGAAUGCUAAGCGGAAUGAUAUCGUAUCGAUUCGCAGGGAAGAUGGUUCGGUCACUACUUCUAGGGCCGAGGUCCUUGAAGUUUUCGAGACCUUUUAUCGAAACUUCUUGGGCACUCGUACCACUUGUGAACCGGUCGACCCCCACAUUAUUUCCAUGAGACCGGUGCUAGGAGAGGAGGAUCGGGAGGGGCUGAUUCAGCCAGUGACGGGGGUGGAAAUUCGGGAGGCACUGUUUGAUAUCGCUGACGACAAAGCACCGGGGCCGGAUGGGUACACGGCCCUUUUCUUCAAAGCGGCAUGGUCGACCGUGGGACCCCUCCUUACGGAGGCCGCCUUGGAGUUCUUUCGAAGUGGUGAGUUGCUCAAACAAUGGGAUAAUACGGUCUUGGUGUUU
rnacentral:lncRNA from 1 species